rnacentral:lncRNA from 1 species
UCAAUACAGUUUUACAUAACUUAUGGUAAAAAAAUUUAGGAAAAAUUUUAAAUACCACUUUCUCACUUUAAUACCCUGUAGUUUAAAGUGUAUCAAUUUAGUGUCAUGUGGUUUCAUUUUUAUUUUUUUAUUAUCGAUUUUAUUAAUUUUUUUUGUUAAAUCAGUGAUAAAGUUAAAACUAAUUAAAGGGUACUAAAGUGAAUAUUUGAUAAACUUAGAUAGUGUAUCUGAAAUUUUUUCUAUAUAACUUAACAAAAUAUUAAUAAAAAACUGACGAAAAGAUAAAAAAAAACCACAGAAUACUAACUUGACAUAUUUUAAGCUACAGAAUACUGAAGUGAAAAAAUACGAAAUUAUAUGGGUGGUAUUCAAAAUUUAUUUUUUUAUUUUUUAUUUUUUGUUUUUAAGGUGUUUGUACGUAAGAACAUGCAUUUAUAGAUGUGUGGACACGCAACCAUUGUUUCUAUCUGAGUGUUGAGAUAAAUGAAGACAAAUGUAGCGGCAAAAAUAUUGAUGGAGUAGAGCACGGAGAGGGAGAUGGUGUGUGUAGGACUCUGAAAAUCCAAGGACGCGUCACCUUUCUUUCCUCGUGAUACCAUAAAGAUUGAACCGUACUCUGUACUCGAUCUGCACAGCGGGUGAUCACUCAAUGCUUCUGUACUCACCAUGCAUUUACCGUGACUCUGCAAUAAUAAUAGGAUGAUGGCCAAUGUAUAAAAACGUUAAAAUUAGGUUGAUUUUAUACACCUUUCUGUACCGUAUAACAAAUAUAUUUUUAUAAAAUUUAAUUUUUUAUUUUUAUCUUUAUAAAAAUUCAGUAUAUUCAUAUAAAUCUUUUGGUUUGUUAUUUUUACAGCACUAUUUAUUUUUUAAUAAAAAAUAAAUAAAAAAAAUAUUUUUUUCAUUAUAAAUAUGUUUUCUUAAAAGUCCCAAUUAACUAUUAAAACUAUAUAGAAAUAUUCUUUCAAAAAUUUUGAACGGUCGUUUUCUUACUUUAUACAAUUGCAAAACGUAUAAGAGGAAUAAAAAUAUCAAUUUAUCUCAUUCACUAAUCAGGAUAAAUAUUUUACAUGUGAUUAACUAUAUUUUUUUAAUGUAUCCUAACGGAGGAGUGAUAUAUUUAAAAAUAUUAAGAUUUUUAUAGAGAUAAAUAUAAAUAGUUGAAUUUUGUAAGGAUAUAUCGGUGCAUUUACAAAUUACAAGAAGUUGUAUGUAAUUAACCGGAAAAAAAAUUACACAAUAAAAUACUCCCUUGUUUAGAUGCGCCUUUGUUUGCUUAUAUCCACCAAAACCUUCAUUAGUGGAGAUUGAUAUUUGGAAAAAAAAAAUAAAAAUUUUAAAUUCUAACAUAAUUAAUAAUCAUAUCUGUCAUCGAAUUCUAAGUGCAAAUAAAUAUUUAAAUUAAAAUAUCUAUUUAAAAUUUAAAAUCGAAUUGGAAUAAAAAUUAAAAUCUAAUUUAUAAAACAACCAACUACUAACAACAUCAUUAAAUAUUAUAUUAAUUUAAAAAUCUAAAAUAAGUAAAAACCAAAUAAGCCAUUGACAUAUGCAUAACUAACGCCUUUCCCAUCUCACAUGAUCGCAUCUCUCUCUGUUCCCUUUCGUUCUCCUCGUCACCGGUCGUACUCUCUCGAUAAGCAAGAUCACAUGCUCAUUUAAGCAUCACCAACUCCUCGUAUUAUUCAAUUCACACGCACUUCGACGCCAUGUUCUUGUGUUUCAUGCACACAAGAGGAGACUAAUAAGAGUUGUAGAAGUAGAAGAAGAUCCCUCUCCCCGCCUCUUUUUUUUUUUUUUUUUUUUUNUUUUUUUUUUUUUUUUUUUUUUGUUUUUUUUUGUUUUUGCGCUCUCUCUCUCUCUCACACACACUCUGUCUCCCAACUAUAGAGCUCCAAUAUAUAUAUGUAGAGCUCCUCCUCCUCCUCCUCCUCUUCUCCAAUCAACCUCACUCUCUCUCUCGGAGGUCCGUCAAUGGCGGCGGCGCUGGAGUGUUGGUCGGGUCGGCCGAGCACGGACGAGGAGAUGGUGGAGCACGUGCUCAUGAAGAGCCACCACCGCUCCGACGCCUUCUCCGCUUCCUCCGCGGCCGCCGCCGCCGCCGCCUCCGCCGCGUCGUCCCCGUCCCCCUCCGAGGACCAAAACCCUAGCGGCGGCGGCGGCGGCGGAGGCGGGACCUUCCCCACGCCCCCGAAGAAGUGGCAGCGCCUCGGCCGCAACUUCGCCGGCGCCAUCGCCGCGCUCAAGAGCUCCCUCAACAUCGACUCCCCACGCGACCCCUCGCCGCGCUCCGAGAAGCACUUCUGGGGCGGCGCCGUGCGGUGCCUCGCCCAACUCUACCCCAACACCCACCAACCUAGCGAGAAGCUCAUCGCCAAUCUCCGACGCCAUUUCGAUUCGUUGCCUAACAGGUGACACAAAUUUAGCCCUCAAUCGAACAAAUUAAACAAUACCCAUUUCGUGAUUUGGUCUAUCGAUCGAUCUACAAGUGUCAAAAUCGUUCCUUUUUUUUUUAUUUUUUUGUUGUGCUGUGAACAGCUAUGCUCAAGCGGGGUUUGAUAUGAAGGACGUUCUCCUACACGCUCGGCUUAUUGAGCAAGCGUUUGCAGAGGAUCAACCCGCGAUCAAUAUACUGGAGAUGCAGGAGAACAAUAAUGGUGUGGAUGGGUUCUUCUUUAAGCUCACAUUUACAUGCAAUUCCCCUCUUUCAUGGCAAGCAAUGUCGGGCUCGCUCGAUAGCUCUUUGAUCUGUUGUAGAAAGAUUCAGAUCUUUGAGAAGAAAGGUUUAACUCUUGGUAUUGUGGUAAUCUUUGUUCAAUCGGGAAAUGAGAGGAAUUUCAAGUCUCGGGUCGAAGCUGCAUUGAGAUCUGCGGUAAAGAAGCCAAAGACUAAUGGCGUGAAGCUCCCUUUCGGGCUCUGCGGGUGCCAAGAGGAGAACUCGAGGAAUUGCGAGGAGGAUUCGCCGUUCGAUCGAGAUGAUCGUGCAUCGGCAGCCGAUAAUGAGCCUCUUCGACGAAUUCAGCUUCCGUCACCUUUGCCGGAGUCUUCUUUGGUUGUUUCUGUCGAUGAGUGGCAAACUGUUCGAUCCGGUGGCGAGGAAAUUGGACGGUGGAUAAUAAACUCCGAUGAGGUCGAGUUCAUCGACUGGGUGGGCUCCAAUUCCUUCAAAGGUGUCUACAGGGGAAAGAAAGUGUGGGUAAAGAAGUUGAGGGGUUGUGAAAUGGGAACUGCUUAUGAUAUAGAGAUCAGACAAGACUUGUUACAGCUGAUGAGCUGUGGGCAGAAGAAUAUACUUCAAUUUUACGGGAUGUGCUUCGAAGAGAAUCACGGCUUGUGCAUUGUAACAAGGAUGGUGGAAGGGGGAUCGGUUCACGAUGUUACGGAGAAGAAUAGGAAGCUGCAUAUUAGGGAAGUGAUGAGGAUUGCUCUUGAUGUUGCCGAAGGUCUUAUGUUUAUGAAUGAUCAUGGAGUGGCGUAUCGAGAUUUGAAUACACAGCGGAUUUUGUUGGAUAAGCAGGGGAAUGCUUAUCUUGGGGACAUGGGUAUAGUUACAUCUUGUAAUCUUGGGGAGGUUAAGGAGUAUGAAACAGCUGGGUACCGGUGGCUCGCUCCUGAGGUUAGAUUUUGCUUACUUUGUCGCAGUAUUACUUUCGCCUGUCCCUUUUCCACUACUUGUUGUGAACAUGUUAUACAUGAUCUCUCUCAUCAUUUGGUGAAAGUUCAUUGUUUUCUAGCUCACAUUUAAUGAGAUCUUCAAUCCAAUCCAUGUAAAGAAAAUAGAGAUGGCAUAAAGUGAUAUCGGGUAAUAUAGUCUGCAUUCUGGGAAUUCAAUAAUCAAAGCCUCUUGUUGUUAGCUAAUUUUGAAAUUUUCUUUUCUAGACCUGCCCAUUGUAGCACAAUCUUUUAUUCCAUUAUCAUUAUCGAAUUUUGAGAUCCAAAGUAAAUUCAGGUAAAGAAAGAACUAAACUGCUCAAAGACAGCUCCAUGUCCCCCCAUACAAUGAUCACUGCAAUUGAUUAGUUCUUGAUCUUAUUACCAAAUCUUAAGCUUUUAACUUUCAAAUAGUUACGAUAACAGGCUGUGAAGUUUAGCCUCUUUUUGUAGCUAAAUCUAAUUGAGGAAUCACAUGAACAGCUAGAUAUAAAAUCUCAUCUUCUUGGCUCAUGCAGAUCAUUGCAGGAGAUCCCGAGAGUGCGACGGAGACUUGGAUGAGCAAUAUCUAUAGCUUCGGAAUGGUGCUAUGGGAAAUGGUAACUGGAGAAGCCGCAUACUCUUCUUAUUCUCCGGUUCAAGCUGCAGUAGGAAUUGCUGCAUGCGGGCUGAGGCCGGAAAUACCAAAAGAUUGCCCUCAAGUUCUAAAGUCGCUGAUGCUCAAGUGCUGGAACAAUUGCCCGUCGAAGCGACCUCAAUUUUCGGAGAUCAUCAAUAUCCUACUAAGGCAAAAUAUUCGAUGAUAAGCCUUAAGUUUCUUGUUUACUCUCUUUGUGCCGUAUUUGAUUGCUUUAGUAGGAUCUAUGUUGAAAAGAAUUGUACUUUUUUUUUUGCCCUUUUUCUGGGUGCCUGUUUUUCUACCACCCCAAGUGUACACUUGCCAUGUAUGUUAUUAGAUGAGAAAAUGUGUGGUUCUCUCUCUCUCUCUCUCUCUCUCUGUACCUUUCAUCAUUGUGAGAUUAAUAAUGAGCAAACCUUCUAUGGAAAGCUUCUGAUAAACUAAACCAUAAAGCCAACUUCUUCCCAAAAAUACUUGUUGAAAAAUGAAAAUAUAUAUGGAUAUUAAAAGAGAAGAACACUCCUAUAAUAAUUUCUGCGAGGAGCUCCUCUAAAUAACUUGUCUCUGGAUGAUUGUUGAUUCUUUUUGUCAAUUUUUUUUUUUUUUUUUUUCUUUUGAGUAGAAUUUUCUCUUUUAUCUCUUCAGAAUCAUCUCAUUGGCUGGUAUAAUUUUGUAAGUUAUGUUAGUGUUUUUUAAGUCAAUUUUGUCUGUAUCUUCUCCGGCCAAGUCUACUUUUUGUGUCCUCUCACCUAUUUUAAAAUAAACAUAUAGUUAAAUCAUAUUAGGGCCCUGUUGACUUAAAUACUUAACCAAUUUAACGAUACUUUCUUUCUAUUGCUGUUGCCUCUACACUGUUAACAGUCAUGUGAAUUGGUCAACGACCCACAACAUUGCAUCUCCAGCAUAAUUUUUUUUAAGAGAAAAUUUAAAAAAUUAUUAAUAGUAGAGAAAUAAUGUUUGCUAUUUAUUUUUUAUUUAAAUUUAUAAACUUUAUUAUGUAGUCGUGGUACAAAUAUAUAUUCAAAAACUAAAAAUUUAAAUAUUAUUUGUUUAUUAUUAAUAGUACCAUAGCUCAACUCUGUUUUUGCUGUAUUGUUUUUUUUUCCGUAUUGAAGCUUUUGUUUUUAUGAGUGAACGCUAUUGGGUUCCUCCCAACGUUCGAGUCAAAUCACGAUCGAACUUUUGCUUCGUUUCGUUUUUCAAAAAAAAGAAAAAAUCCACCAAAACCCAAAGGUGCAUAGAUAGACCCAUUUAAUAGCAUAUAAUCUGAGCUCAAUAAAAAGAAAUGGCCAGUACCCAGCUAGGCCUAGACUUAAAUGUGUUUAAUACUUCUAUGUAAUUGUAAUUAUAUAAAAUAAGUUCUAAGAUAGACUAGAAUUGCUUAUAUAUAUAUAUAUAUAGAGAGAGAGAGAGAGAGAGAGAGAGAGAGAGCAGGUAAAAUAUGACUGCAGUGUGUUGGAAUAAAAUAUCGGAAAAGAAGCAAAAGUUGUACAGUUGAUGAACUGCUUGCAAAACAAAGAACUCGGGCUGAAACCCCCUGAAAAUGUAUUUUUCUUCAUCCACAAGACAAUGCUACGAGAGAAUACAAGAGAAUGGGGAGUCACGAAUGGUUUCCUCAUAACUUAUUGUUAAAGAUCAUCUGAAGAAAUAAAGCAGGACUACUCGGAUACCGGGCAAGCGCUCUCAAAUGCUUGCUGCUCUUUGCGGCACAAGUCGAACUCGUUAGUGUAGUAGUACAUGCAUCCUGCAUAAGCAUCCAUCUCCUUGGGGCACUUCUGGUGAAGCUCUUUCAGCCUGCAUUUAUUUGCUUCAUUAGGACCAUAUUUUUGGAUUUAUAUGAAACUAGAAAUUUCACCAACAACAUUUUACUCAGUUUACAAGAUCAUAAUUUCACCAUAAGUCAGUUCAGUAUGUAUUCAUACAAGAUGCAUUAAACUUCACAUUAAGAACAUGAGAAUAUGUAAAAUCUCCCCUCUCAAGAAGUAAGUUUUAAAAGUACCAAAACAAGUUUUGAGCAAGCCUAGAUAAAAGUACAUGGUGCUACUAGCGUAGUUAAGCAAUACAGGAUAUAGAAGCUUUGUGUCAUAUCUUACAAAAACGCACAUUCCUUAGGGGUAGCAAGAUCAUCUAUAUUAUAUGAAACAAUGAUAUAUAAAUAGUCACAUACUACAUUUUAUUUUCUUUGUUGUCAUAAAACAAGAAUACAAAUCUAUUUGAAUAUCAAAACAAAAUGGAUAGUAUAUCUAUAGCAUAACGAUAUGAUUACCCUGACUUAUAAGACAGUAAAAUUGUGGCACAAUGUAAUGAUGUAUACAUGAUGUAUCACAGCCUUGAAUUCAUUUAGACGGCUCCAUGUGACAAAGCUGUUCUAUGAUAAAAAUAGUGACAUGAUUUUACAGAAGUUUUAGAAAGAACGUGGCACGGUCAUUUAUUGGAUGCAUUUUCCUGAACUUCUAUCCAAUUUUCAGUUUGGUCCUCCUUUUUAGUUAGACAUUUUACACCUCGAGCUUUUGGAAGUGCUUCAUUUUUGGUCCUUGAUUCGAGGGGUAUAUAUUCCCUGCACCUAGUGCAUCUGUACAUCUAUGUCCAUGCACCACGAAUUCAUUGCCCCUCGAUCCAUUUUAUACUUUAAAUCCAACGGUACAUUUUCUAAGAACUAAGUAGAGAAAAGGUUGUAAUGCAAUCGACGAUAUAGAUAAAAAUACAAGAUGGGAUUAAGGGCUGAUAAAUGCAUGACGCACAGACGUAUAGAGGCACCAGAUGCAGGCAUUAAUUUUUUCUCUUGCAAGAAAUGAGGAUAGAGACUCAAGAAAAACACUCGAAAAAGUUUAAGGACAAAGUUUGGAGAGUAGUAGUGCAACUUACCCUCCAGGGUUUUGCCCAGAAAUUAGUGUCUGAUUUAGCAUCUUUGUAAUAGAUUGACUCUCUAUACAACCAACUUUUCUUACCCUAAUGAUGCACAAUAAUAAUGUACCUAUCAUGUAUCACUUUUAGUCCUAAUGUGGUGAUUUUUAAUAAACGAUAUAAGUGAGCUAUUUCCCAACUGUAGGAAGUUGGUUGCGGUGAAAAUAAAAAAAUCUAAAACUUUAAGGCUAGCCGGGAGAAUUUGGCGACUCUUUUGCAUAAUAAUAUUGAAAAAAAAAAAUCCAUUGUAAGGCUAGCUGGAAUUUAAGCAUUAUAUGCAAGUACAUAAUACUAUAAACACAAGAAAACUAGGCCAAAGCCUGAACACUUGUGAAGCUGAAGAUAAGAAAGGAAGGCUUUACAAACAAAAGUAUAAUAUUAGAAGUAACAAAUAAAGAGGGGCGGAGAGGAGGAGGAGGAGGGGGGGGGGAGGGGGAGCAUGUAAAGCAUGAAUAAAAGAAAUAACCAGGGCGACAAGUUUAGCCUAAUACAGUCCUCAUGUAGCAUAUGGUUCGAGCUGUAAUUUAAACAUAUCUGUAGCUACUAUGGAAUCGGAUUCAAAUUGAUCUAACAAAAGAGAAGAACACGCCGCCAAGUUGAUCCAAGAUGUACAAAGAGGAAACUAAACAAUAGGUCUAUCUCAGCAGAGAAUUCUCCAAACAAAAGGCGAGAAAGAGAGUUUUGACAAGGAAUACAAAGGGAAAAUAGAAUAUAAGGGGAAAUAUAAGAAGCACUACAUGAAAGUCUUUCCCUCAUUCACCAUACAAUUGCUGGAAAAUCAAAUGUCUAUCAUGUUGAUCCAAGAUGCAUAAUCCAUCACCAUACAAAGUAAUAAAAGCAACAACAGCAGAACACAAAUCAAUCCAAACUAUUCUUAACAGAGAAUACAACUAAGGACGUACUCUUCAAAGACUGUUAACUAAAACGUGAAUAUAAACGCAACUAAAAUCAGAAAUCAUCUGUCCGGGAUUAUUCAAGUAAUCAAGAUUCUCUAUACUGUCCCAGUCGGCCCAUUCAAAAUUUUCCAAAAUCACAUUAAGAAAGAAAGAUAAUCCCGGACAGAUGAUUUCUGAUAGUUGAAUGGAAAUCAUCAGCAUUUUUUUCCAUUCAACUACACCGUGACAUCACUUCCUAAUGUAGUGUAGCUAUCCUUAGCAAUUUGCUCCUGAAAACAUCCGAAAAAUGUGGGCUCUGAUCAAAACUACGAUAUUUACGAUGCAUUUUACCAAUCAAAUGAGGAACACACUGAAUCUAAAUAGAUCACAAAUCAAGCAUCAAAGCCCCAAAAAAAAUCCUCACUCAGAGAGAUCAAACAGGUAGAAAUCGACGAGUAACGACGCGGAUCUCUUACAGGUUUAGGACGCAUCGCGUGACCUGGCGACCCUUGUCGAGGCAUUUCUCCGGGUUGGGAUCCUUCUUCUUGCAAUUGAUGAAGUCGACGUUCUCGGAGCGACACUUCACGGCGAUGUGCUUCGACGCCGCCAUGAGAACCGACGAGGUCGGGAUCGGCUCCCCCGCCGCGUCGACGGUGCUCGCCAUGGCGCGUAAAUCCCUCUCUCUUCCGCAACCCCGUGCGAGCGAGUGGACCGAGGGUUAAAGGAGGAGACCCAGAGGUGGCUUUCUAGGGUUAGGGUUUGUGGAAUUUUACCUAAAAAGGUUCGAGCUUUUUCGCGGAGACGAUGAUCCGAGAAGGGGUAGAAAUGGCGUGGCAACUUGAGUUGAGCUACUCCUGGGAGUGUGCACUGGGCCAAAUUGGUAAUUUGGCAGAGAUUCAUGGGCUUUUGGCUAUAUGUGCUCCCAUGAAUGCUCUGUUUGAAUCAAAUGGACCAAGCUUAGACCUUUAUUGGGCUACUUAAUUCAUUCUCCAACACAGGAUCUUGGGCCUUUAGCUUUGGAGGCCCAAAUUGGUUGGAAAAUCUAAAAACCUCCCGAUCCAGUUGGUUGCGAUCCAACGGCGGAGAUCAAAUUCACGCAUUUUCAUCACAUUCCCUCCAUUUCUACGGUGAGAUUUUUAUCCACAGUACAUCAUAUUUUAAGAUUCAUUCUAAUUCACGUAAUAAACGUGGAUUUUUGUUCCACUUUUUUUUUUUUUCAUUUUUUGAGAAGUAGGCAGCUCGCUAACCGCUUCGUUUAUUUUAUUUAGAAAUAAAUUUAACUAGAAAUGUGAAUCAACUAGGAUUCGAACUUGGAUUGCGGAUACCAACCAUAAGUCUUUUGCCAUUCGCUUUAGGAACGGUCGGUAUUUUUGUUCCACUUUUAACCCCCCCAACUCACGCCUCUCUAUAUAACUCUGCUUAGCUUCGCUCUCUCUUCCUCUCCUUCUCCUCUCACUCUCUUCCUUCUUCUCCGACGUUCUCACCACGAAACCCUAGCGUAACGAAGCUAACGAUCGCGUCGGACAAGGUAGCGUAGAAGAGGAGUACGAGCGAGGCUCGUUCUCCUCUCGACUUCCUCAUCUCCUUCCUCUCCCUUCUCCGUUCAUUGUCACCAUUCUCGAUCUGAUCGUUUCUUGUGAUAUAGAAGGCGUUUUUUUGUGAUGAUGCUUUGAAUGGAAAUUUAUGUAUCCGAAACGAGUUACUGGUUUUUAAUGUAAUGUUUAAUAAUGAUAUCACCUCAGAAGCAAGUAUCCUUGUUCUUAAUUUUUUGGUUGGGAGAUUGGAUAUCCUAUACUUUUUCUUAUAUAUAAUGAAUUUUAUUUGGAGACAUCAUUUAUGGGUUUUAUAAUUGUGUGCAGGAUGAGCAUCCAUUGCCUAAGACAAGCCAAUUAUUUCACAAUACAAUCUCUAUGAAAUCUAAUUACCUUCUUUCAGUUUACUGAGCCGAUCCAUAAGUGUUUAAUAGCCUGUAGAUGUUUCUUUUGGUAAUCAGAUCCUACUUUAUUCUUUGUCCCAAUUACCAUAUCUUUGGUCUCAAAGUUAUCACUUGAAAUCAGGUUAAUUAGUUCUUGUGCGCAUCAUGGUUUCCAUAUAUUAGAUUUGAAUCUGUCGAUGAGAUAUCCUAUUCUCUUUUUCUUUUUUUUUUUUGUUCUGGGAGAAAAGGCAGUUUACAUCAUUCUCUGGGAGGUUAAGUUUCUCACACUAACAAUAGUAUGAUAUUUGCCUUUUUCAAUUUAUGUCUCUGUUGAAUUCCAAAACACCUCAUGAUUAAGAAAUUUUUUAUUGCUUUAAGCUUCUUAUCAGCUUCUUUUAUCUUUCUCUGAAACUCUAUCUGUAUUUUGCAGCAAAGAACAUUGUACUUGCUGGUGUCAAAUUAAUCUAUCACUCUACACGAUGUAGAGAAUGUGGAAAUGUGGGAUUUGUCUAGCAACUUCUUUUUAGCUGAGGAAGAUAUUUGUAAACGUUGGCUUAAAUAGGCCAGCAUUCUGCCAUGUGGCGGGAGGCUAUAUGUGGGUCGAGUCAUAUUCGAAAUGAUGUGAGGCUGGGUUGGACUGAGUCAUGUUCGAAGUGGCGUGAGGCUGGUUGGGCCGAGCCACAAUCGAGAUCCGUGGGCGCUGUAUCUGUACUUUAUAAGUGAAUUGAUUCUGUAUUUCUAACAGCUCGAGCUUUUAGAUUAAUGGUUAGCAUCAACGAUCCGAUAAGAUAAGAACCGAGCUGUGGCUUGUGUCCAGUAUUAAAGAAGGACCAAAAAUUCUAUGCCCCUCACACACUGUCCUCCUCCUUGCCACCAUGGGUUAUGGAGGAUCCGCAUCAAUUUAACCGCAUUCGUUGCGUUUUGCGGAAUCUUCUAACUUUUCCACUUAUUUUUUUGGGAAAUAAAGAAUGAAAUGAUUUGCAUAGUUUCAUGGUAAAGGUAAACUCAUUGCCCGUGAUAAAGUCCUCUUUGUAUUGGUUAUUCUAUUUAUAUGCUGAAUUUGUAACAACCUUAUUAAAGGGCAUGAUCAAUAUAAAACAUCAUUAUUUUAUUAUUUUUUUAUUUUGAGAGAUAGGUAGCAAGUUACCCGCUUCGUUUAUUUUAUUUAGAAAUAAACUUAGCUGGAAAUAAUAUAAAACAUCAUUAAUAUUAAUUUUUUGUUACUUUUAUUCAAAUUUAUUAUAAUGUUUUUGACAUUGCAAUCUCAGCGUGACAUAUUAUAAUGUUUAUUGUACAAAUUCCACACUAAACUAAUCAUAAUACUUUGAGUGAAUUAUUCUUUUAUUUACUGACAAUUCUUGGACAACUACUCUCAACGACCAUCAAAUCCAAAUAAUGUCCCAAUAGUAUCUUUAGUAGUGCUUAUCAAAUCGCCCGAAUCUACACUAAUUAGUUAAUAAAAUCGCCCGAAUCUACACUAAUCUUAUAUAUAUUAUAGAGUCUCAGUUUGCUUAUCAAUGGUAAGAACUAAGAAUACCAUAAACAAAUUUUUUUUAAAAAAAAAACUAAGAUUAUAGUUAGAAGUAUUAUGAAAUAGGAAUUUUUCGGUAGGUGAGUAAAUUUGUGCUACAUAGAGGGCUUUUAUUACAUUUAGUCUCCUCAAAAUAGAAAUAAAAAUAAAAUAAAAGAUCCUAACAAAUUUAUAUUUGCAUAUAUGAUCAUUUUCUUACUACGUGAGCGUCAUACUAAUAUUUUCAAGUUGAACACGAUAAUUGAAUCAUUGUGUUAUAUUUACACUCUAGCCCCUCUUUUAAUUAACUUAGGGACGAUAAAAAAUACAAAAGAAAAUACGGUGAUCUAAUCACCGUAUUUAAAGACGGUGAUUGAAUUAGCACAUUCAACUUAAAAAUAUCACCUAGACGGUGAUUGAAUCAGCACAUUCAACUUAAAAAUAUCACCUAAUUGCUCUCAUGGCAAGAAAAAAUUUAUUUAUAUAAAUAUAAAUUUAUUAUGGUUUUCUGUAAUAAAAAAAAAAAAAAGAAGGGCAAAAUGCAAAAAAAUACCCUAAAUUUUAACAUUUUAUUUAGUUGGUCUCACAACAACCCAACGGAAAGCCACAUUCGACCUGCAAUCAUUAUUGACAUAGUACAACAUCGGAGCACAUUCUUCGUCAAUUGCUUAAGGAUAAAUUGUAUGAACAGUCCCUGUACUAUGCCAAAGUAACAAAUUGUCUGUACUUUUAUGUACAUUUAGUCUUUGAAUGACAAAAAAUAUGCCAAAAAAAAAAUCCCUGUACUAGUGUACUACUCUUUAAUUUACAGCAAACUUUAUGGGGGGAGACUUAUUAACUAAAAUGAUAUACUAAGCCUGAUUAAUUCACAAAUUAAAAUAUUUAAAAUAUAAAUAGACAUCAUUGUAGAACAAGCUUCUUAACUUCAUAUCCCCUAAAGCAAGUGGCAAAGGACUUGGUGUUUGGUACCCGAGACCCAAGUUCGAAUCCUAGUUGAUUCACAUUUCUAGCUAAGUUUAUUUCUAAAUGAAAUAAACGAAACGGAUAGCGUGCUACCUAUUUCUCAAAAAAAAAAAAAAACUUCAUAUCUUUUAUUGACCUCUUCAAAUUUUUAUUUUUUAUUUAAUUUAAAAUUUUACAUAAAAAUUUUAAUUGUUCUUUGCCACUGUAAUAUAAUUUGAAUAUUUCCUAACUUUUUAAUUUCAUCGACUAAGUCAAGUAUAAAAAAAAUAACGAAAAAUAUAAAUUUGAUGGAGUUGUUUCAAAAUCGUCUAUAGUUGAGAGGGUUUCACGCAUGUUUAUCAAACUUUAAAUAUGCUAUGUUAAAGUAAAAUUAAAUGUGAGCCAUGGAGUCGUCUUUGAGCCUCUGCUACCGCCCUUUCCCUUCACGCGUUUCCUCGCCUCCUCAACCCUUCCAAUCCAAUUCCCCACUAAUUUUUCACCUUAAUUACCCCACCUUUUGAUCCAAAUCUCGUUGUGGGGAUUGGAUUUGGCCGAGUUUGUGAAUGGGGUGGUCGUUGCUAGUGCUCCUACUGCUAUUUUGGAGAUUGGAUCUCGGCGAUUGGCACAAUGGGGAAGGUGAGGUGUUCUCUACUGUUUUGGGGGUCGGAUUCGGUGGAAUUAAGCUCGAUUCGGGGGUUUUUAUCUGUGAUUUUGGUUUACAGGUGUGGAGAUUUUCGGAUUCAAGGAGAAGGUGGAAUUGGACCGCAAUGGAGCUUCGUCGUACUGGGGUGAGCGAGGCGCAUUCGGUUCGUGUUCGUUGUUUGGGGUUUGGUGCUCUGAAGGAAGAGUCGUGAUUCGGUAAGUGGUGAAGUUUUGGGAAAUACUCUGAUCAGAUCUAUUUGUUGUGUUCUUCUGAUUUUAAUUGCAAGAAGCAUCUGCAUACGAAGCAUGCUCUUGAGAUAUUUUUGUUUCCGGACAAUGCACAAAAGUUAAGUGAUAUCUUUCAUGAAGCAGUAGAAGAAUAUGUUCAGCUGAAAUUGGAUGAUAUUUGACGAUUAAAAAUAUGAGUUUCCUUUAGUUUGUGCAAUCAUUAGGUUGUGCAUAAUUUGGUGGCAUAUGUAGUUUGGAUUCAGAAUCCGGAGUUGACUUUUACAGAUCCUUUGGUUUCCACCUUUGGUGGCAUAUGCAGUUUGGAUUCUGAAUGCGGAGUUGAAUUUGACAGCGAAAAUAUGAUCUUUUGGUUUCCGCUGUUGUAUUGGUAUGUGAAUACGAAAUAUUGUGUUAUAUGAAAAAUUAGGAGGGAGAUAGGAUAAUCUAUAUGUUCAAUUCUUAUUAUGUUAGAGUGUUAGACUCUUUUCCUAGUACUAAGUAGGAAAGGAUGAUACAAUCACUAACCAGUGACCAGGGUUUUAUGGCUUUUGCAUGCGGAAUGCGGAUGAGCGGGAGCAAUUUGAAAAAGAUUUGAGCAAAGUUGUAACUUUCAGAAAUAAAUAGGAGCUAGAAAUUGAAUCGACAAGCGCUACAAUUCCAUUGCAUCGUGUGUGCGAUGCUGACUUUUUCAUAUUUGCAGUGAUGGAAACAUUCGAAAUGCAAAUACGCGGAAACUUCUACAAAUAGGUAGCAAUGAUCUUAUGCCACCGGCACCAACACCAACACCAACACCGGACCCGACUUUUUCACCUAUUUCUUCACCCUCGGUUGAACCCUUUCCUCCAGCCGAGCCGCCAUGGAUUCCACAAUCUCCAUUGGCUUCUACACCAACUAUCUCCUUUCCAUCAUCUCCUUCCAGCCUUAUUAAUCCAUCCCCCACCCCUGCUCCCACACCUUCACCUAUAACCAGGCCUCCAUCCCCACAAAUAGCCACGACACCUUCUGCACCUGUACCAACUCUUUCAUCGACAGUCAAAGUCGGCUCACAUAGAAAGCAUGUGAAUUUGGCGGCUAAAUAUGGGUCGAUAGCUGCAGGAGUUUCCUUUUUCCUUGCCAUGUUUGGUUUGUCUAUCUUCUGCUGCCGGACAAACAAGGUUGAGACUGUUAGACCGUGGGCAACGGGCUUAAGUGGACAGCUACAAAGAGUUUUUGUGACAGGUAUCCUUUCUUUUAGACCCUAUAUUCAGUUUUCUUUUUGUUUUGCUAGAAUGCAGGAAGCCACCAAAACCACAAAGAUGAAAUACUGUAGUAUAGAGAGAUGAAAAACUAUAGUUUAGUGGUGUAAUUUGUAGUUCUUAAUUUUCAAAAUUUCAGGGUGGAAAGAUGAAAAUGGCAAGCUUCGAAGAGGGGUUUCCUGCAUCUUAGACUUUACUUUUGCUUGAAUUUUCAUCUUCUAACUUCAUGAGAUGAUUCUCAUUCAGGCGUGCCUGCUCUCAAACGGUCGGAACUGGAAACAGCUUGUGAAGACUUCAGCAAUGUGGUUGGUUCUUUAUCAGGCGGCAUGCUUUACAAGGGAACUCUAUCGAAUGGUGUUGAGAUAGCGGUGGUAUCAAGUGUGAUAACAUCUGCACCAGGUUGGUCAAAACAAUGUGAAUCCCAGUUCAGGAAGAAGGUAAAAUAUGGUCUACUUACUUUUUUGGUAGAAACUCUAACACUUUGCAUUCAUUUCAGCAUCAAAAACGUAUUCUGGUUUCAGAUCUCGAGUUUGUCCAAAGUUAACCACAAGAAUUUCAUGAGCCUGCUCGGCUACUGCGAGGAAGAAGAGCCUUUUACCAGGAUGAUGGUGUUUGAGUAUGCUCCCAAUGGGACACUUUUUGAGCAUCUCCAUGGUAAGUUCUUCAAACACAACUUUCACAGACAAAACAUACUCUCAUUCAUACAAAUUAUAAUAUAUAGAUAUAUUGAACUCCCAUGAUUGGCUCAGUAAGAUGAGUUGCUUACUUCUCUUACUAAACGUGCUCCUUGAUCAAGUUCUUAGAAGAGUAACAUGGUAUGUGGAAAAUAACAUGCUGUAUUCAGCUUCAAAACAUCUGACUUUGUGAUUACGACAAAUUAUCAAGUACAGAUAACUUUCCGUGGAAAUAACUAAUAAAUGUAAAAGAGAGAUUGAGUUUUCCUCUUCAGUAUGCAUGAUGGAACUUUACUGGUAUGUAGCCUCAAGAAACUUUUCUUUUUUAGAGAUCGUAUCUUAAUGCGAACACUCGUAUACUACAUUGAUUCUUUUAAUAGGUCCUGGGGCGUAUUUGUGAAAAUUGUAGAAAACAUAGAAAUUAGAAAGGUUGGCCUUCAUUAGAGGUAGCCAAUUACACACCCAGAAACUUUUAACAUCGAUGCUUGAGUUUCCUGUGCAUGUAGCUGUGUUCCAAUUUUUAUUGUUUUGGCUCUCACAUCAUAAACUUGACAUGCGUUACAGUCAAAGAAGCUGAUCACUUGGACUGGUCGACUAGACUUCGGAUAUCCAUGGGGAUAGCUUACUGUCUAGAAUACAUGCACCAGCUAAAACCCCCCGUCAUCCUCAGCAAUCUCGACUCGUCGACCAUCUUCCUAACUGAUGAUUUUGCCGCCAAAGUCUCUGAUCUUGAUCUCUGGACUGACAGUAAGGGAACUGAUAAAGCUAGCGAGAACUCAAGCACCUUUUCAUUCUUAUCAGAUCAAGAGAGUGUCGUCUACAAGUACGGUAUCCUUAUUUUAGAGAUAAUAUCAGGUCGGAUUCCAUUUUCCAGCGAGAAAGGCAUUCUCGAAAGCUGGGCUUCAUCUUACUUAAAUGGCGAGAAGCCUAUUCACGAAAUGAUUGACCCCGGCCUCGAAUCCUUUAGCGAGAAAACACUAGAUGCCCUUCUCGAGGUGAUAUUGUCAUGCAUUGAUCCGAAUCCUGAGAAGAGACCGACAAUGGCCGAGGUGGUGACCCUCAUGAGAGAGAUCACAGGGAUGCCUCCAGAUGGCGCAACUCCAAAAGUCUCCCCAUUGUGGUGGGCCGAGCUCGAGAUUAUCUCAUCCGAGGCUAACUAAGGAUGGAAUACUUUGCCUUCUUUGUGAUUAGAAAUUCGUUUGUUCAAUUUGGUUUGAUAUUCGUUUGUUCAAAUUGGUUUGUUGUCAGAAUUUUUUUUCUACCUCAAUUUGUUUUGCGUUGUGAGUGGGCACUACAGAAACAAUGUAGAUGAUACAGAGAGGAAGAGUCGGUUGAUGCUGUAACACGUUGUAGUAUUUUCAAAGUGUUAGGGUGCUGAUGUUUGUGGAGAGUGGCCCUGGAAAAAUAACCGCUUUCAAAAGCUGGAAAAAAAAAGAAAAGAAAAGAAAAGAAGAGGAGAAUUACAAUAAAUUUUAGAGCCGUUUAUUAGUUGUUUGAUCAUUUUAUACUCUUUGCUUGUCGUUUCCCUAUUACGAACCAAUCUAUUUUCACAGAUUUCGAUACAAAGCCUGCAGGAUUCGCCUUAAUCUUUCUUUUGAGUGGAUUAACUCAGAAAAAUUUUAUCCCAAUUCCCUCGUACCCAGAAGCAGUACUGAGUUUUAUGUUAUCUUAUAUUCUAUAUAUAUAUUAUUUUUUGAGAUAAAAAAUAAACUGGUCCGCACGAAAGAAACAAACUAGUCAGCACGAAGGAAUAACGUCAACACCCCAAUGGCCAAAUCCGUCCAUGAUUGUGAUUGUCCAACAACUUACUAGGUCGCACGUCUCUACGCACCGUCUUUAGUUUAGUUUUUUUUUUUUUUUUUUAAGGGUUAAACUUAUUGGCAAUUCAUUAAAAAUAAAGCUUGAUUAUAUGAUUGAAUAAUUUUGGGAAAAACAAAAAAGCACAUUAAAAAACAAGGGAGAAUAGAAAUAUCUCCAAAAUUAUAUAGAGAAGAUAAAAGUGCCCCAAACCUGAGAAAGCAAGAGAGAAAAUAUAUAGAUCGGUACCCGAAACCUACGCAUCAAAUCAAGCUCCUGAACCUAAAAACCCGUAAUGAAAAAGACGAACAAAACAUGAAAAAAGAAAAAAAAAAUCUAUAGAAAAAGCAAUUAACAAUCAAUCAGAUCCAGCUGCCGACCACGUCAAUCUCCGGUUUCUAGUUUAGUUAUUCCCAACGUUCAAUCUCUGUAAACGGCUCCUCUAAACACCAAGCUCAAAAGAUAUAAACAUAAAAAUAUAAAAAUAUAAAAUGUUUCCUAGAGGGGAAAAAAAGAAAAUAGCCCGUAUAAGCAUUGUAUACCACAACGUGCUCGAAAGGGAUAAUCUAUUAAUUUGAAAUCGCCGCAGGACCAAGUGAACAAGCUGAACAGAAGACCGCAUGUAUAAUAUUUCUCAGCUCUGCGACUUUGUUUCAAACUGUUUGAGCGACAAUGACAGAGACCAACUCCAAACAGUGAUCAAAGCCAACUCUUCAAACCGUGCUCCGAACACAAUCCGUGAAUUCCAAUCAAUCUUACAAGGAACUCUUUACUUUUGACGAAAUAUCUAUUUUACUCGCAAGUAGAUCCGGCAACAGAGAUACUGAGAAUGACGAAUCACUAGAGACAACUGAAUACAUUGGUUAGAGCAGUUUAUGAACCACAAACACUUUCCUAAACUGAUGGCAGACCUGCGACUCUACGGAUUGAGAAGAACAACAGGAAUGUAUUUAGGACAAGACAUCCUACGAUACAUUAGUGAAGACACUUGCGAACCUCCAAUUCGUAUUGAUAUAUCAAAACACACAAAAUUGUCAAAAGACCAGGAAAUACGAUCUUCACUUUAACUGCAGAAAGUAGAAGGAAAGAAGCCUAUACCUCAAGAAACCAGCACUCGGCGAAUCAUUCCUUGAGUCCAAGUUGCAGUCUCCUUCAGUUGUUCAUCGUCAGAUUCGAAGCAUUCUCCCAAGAAAUCAGAAUGGAAAGUACAAUCCCUAAACAAGAGUUUUGUGUUUGGGCCGAGUGUGUCCGCAAGAUCCCCCAACAUGGCAACUGCAGCUCUCGUCACUCCCUCAUCCCUACAUGAUACUCAAACUAAAUAUCCUUCUAAAUAACAAUUGAUUUCCUACUCCGACGCACAAAAGGGAAACAAAAAGAGCCAUAGGGUCUUUUAAAGUAUAUAAUAUCCCUGCAAAAUCAUCUAAUUUACAUAUAUCACUAAUCCUAUGUACCACUUUAAAGAGAUAUUUUUCAUCAAAAUAAAAAAAGGGUACCCUUUUUAAAGAGGGGAGUUAUCCGAUUCAUGGGGGAACUUCUGUUCCGUACUAAAAAGAGCUAUUUAGAGUGGGCAUUUCUGUAUGUAAAAGGGCAUACGAUAAAAAAAAAAUUCAGAUUUUGCAGGACUAUAAGUGUAAUAAACAAUUUUCUGGCUUUAUAUAUAUUUAAAUAUCUCAAAAUCAAAUGCCAACUGCAAGCACCGCUUACCUGUUCUUGUCUUUGAAAACUGCUUCUGUGAACUGUAGAAGCUGGCUCGCAUAAGGUACCAACAACUCAGCUUUUGAAUUCUUAAAACCUUGGAGAAUGCCAGAGUAAGCCUCGAAAAUGCCUCUUCUAAGCUGAUUUCCAUAAUCCACCAUAUCCUCAUCAUUAACAUCUAGAUAAGUACAAAGACCUGCCGCUCCUUGAAGCAUAGAAACAGCGUAAGGCAGAUACUUCUCAAACUGUUCACCAAUCGCAAGGGCAAUAUCGCCAAAGCAGGAGAAUAUAGGGGGUUUUACAGAACGAUGAAGCAUGGAAUUGGAGAGAUCCUUAAGAAGGGCACUCAUUAUACCGUUACAGAAGGGGAGGAUCUUUUCAUCCAGAGCACGGCAAAUAUCGCCCACCACACCAACAGAGAUAGAGCAGACUUGGUACUCCUCAAAAUUUUGCAAGCCCAUUUCCAAAUAGUUGUAGAAUUCUGGCAUGUAUUUGGCAAAUUCUGGGCCAGUAGCAUAAGCAAGAGCCCCAAUAGCAAGCAUAGCUUCUUCGUGCACUGAAGAGCUGCGACACCCAAAAACACGGAGGAAUAAGAUCAUCAUUUGGUCAGCAGAUUGAAGAAUUACGGAUUUUGCAUCUGAGCUGCUUAAUUUCUGUAUUAUAACUUGAAGAACACCACACAAUAACGCUUGCAGAUCACUUUGAUUUUCCUUGUCCUCAGAGGAACUAAUCUGAAGCUCCAGGGUUUGGCUCAAUCUCUUCAUUAUUUCGUGCAUUAAGUGGGCAAUCAUGUUCAAGCUCUCAGGUUGACUGCUGCAUCUGACUAUCUCAUUUACAGUUUCAUAAGCAGAAGCCCGAAGUCUUGAGUUGUUAGUGUCCAUACGGUCAGCAGUAGAGAGGAGAGCUGAGAUGGCAUCAGCGAGAUAUGGCGUUAGCACCGAUGAAGCCGAUCCAUCAUCUUCAUAGCCCUGCACGAGGAAAUAAAUAGCCCCACACACUUUCUCCGCCACAUUAGGGACGUCUCUAAUACUCUCCAACAGUACAGACAUGAUUUGAGGAAGAUUUGCAUUAGUUAUCACUGCAUAGGUGCUGGAUGGAGAGUGAAGGAUCUCAAAUAUCCUACCGAGAGCCCAUGCUGUAGUGUCCUUAACAUGAGUAUUCUGAUCUUUCAUUGCAUUAAGCAAGAAAUUUAGUCCAGCAUGGACCAAAGGAAGAAGUGUUUCUACAGAAGGACCUUCCAAGAUGGACCCAAAUGCAAAAGUGGCUGCCUCACGGUUCCGCCAGUCUGCCUUUGUUAUAUUAUCCUGCACAAAAGGCAUGACAAGAGGCACAACAGCAUCACCGACAUUCCUGGCGACGAGUCCGAGGCAGGUGCCACCGGCCAUAGACAAGUUCCAGAUAUUAUCAUCUUGAUCCUGAUCCUCCUCUUGCUUCAACAGUGUCUCCAGCAGCAUAGGUACAAGCAAAGGAAGAGCCUUCUCGAUAAACCGAUAAUGCUGAGAAGAACUCCCGUCAGCAGGUCCUGCGUGUUCUUCUUGUAUUGUGAUCUCUUCAUCGCAUAUCGUACUCCAAAAUUCAAUGGCUUGAAGGGCGACAGGCUCCUCAUCACCCCUCACAGCACUCGCCGUUAAGUUAAACAGGGUUUCCAUAUAUGGCCCUAGCAGUUCAUAAUAAGUGGAGGCUAUAGAAACGAGGCACUCAAAGGCAGCCUGUCUUACAUUUGACUCUUUGGACACGGCAGUCUCACAAACCACCUUCAUUAAAUAGUUCCUCUCGAUCUCAUUCUGAAAGUUGGUCUGAGCAAAAUCAAGAGCAUUAUACAAUGCUUUGAUACCAGCGAGACGGACUUCAAAACUGUGUUCCAUCUGAUUCAUGCCUUGAACCACAGCAGUAAGGAUGGCAUUAACUUGGUCCUGCUCCAAAUCCUCAGGAGAUAUCUCCUCGCACACAUAUCCCAAGGUUUCCAGCGUUGCUUCUUUUAGAGAAGGCAGUGAAUCUUUCUGUGUCAUGUUGUUUAACAACUUUGCAAUAAGGUCCUGCCAUUCUCGACGAGGGAUCUCGAUUGAAGCAACUUUGGCUAUGACUUGCGAAGAGGUGCGCCGAGCUUCUGAUACGGAUGAUCCAAGUGUCUUUAAUAAGGAUUCCUUAACUUGGAACUUAAUAGUAAGGUCCACGCUGAUCCAUUUCUGGGCCAGUUCUUCUUUCCUAAUUGAGUCCUUCGCAUCCAAGGAAUUUUUAAGCAGGAUGCCGGCGAGCCUUCGAGAUUCAGGAGGCUUUUGUUCAUUUGAUAGCUCGAUAGAUAAGGCAAGGAGGAAAUGGGGUAGGUUCUGCUCCUGGAACUGCUUGAGAUUCCCUUCCGCAACAGUACGGAUCUGACCAUCUUGUGAUUGUGCAGCUAAUAGUAUUGAGGUUAUCUCCAUUGCCAUGCCGAUUAUGCUACAGUACAGUAGAUAGAACCCACAGAUCAAUCAAGUUAGAAAAGCAGGUAAAUUGGAAAUUCUCAAAAAGAGAUGUAGCAAGAUAAAUGCAUUUCAACAUAAGCAUUAUCCAGAUGGCUGACCCAUAUGAUAAACAACUCUCCAUUAGAUUUUUUUUUUUUCCAAUUUCCAAGUUUCCGGAAGACCGCUAUCCAGGCCAUCUUAAUUGGACGAAGAUCUCAGAUGAGCAGCAAGAUGAAGUCGAUCUUGCCAAAGAUGGGUUACACAUACCACAAUAUUGCAAUUUCUUAGUUGGCACAUAUUUGACCGAAAUAUAGACAUCACCCAAUAAGUGAUAUAGAGCACAACCAGCAUUUCAUCUCAUAUGUCUAGCUUUUGAAAAUAACUCUUAAAUGAUAGUAUAUAAAAUUAAUUGCAACAAUAUCUAACAGAAAAAUAUUUUGGAAGUGUAUAUCUCAGCUAAUCAAUAUGGCCUGAAAUUUAACAUGCAGCGGCAUAAAUUUAGUAUAUUUUCACAAUAAGAUUGCAUAGUAGAGUCACCAAUAGAAGGGUGAACACUCCAACUUUACGGGUAAUCCAAAUUUACAGUAAAAUAAUACACUUUACUAUAAACUACAGAAAAUGAUGAUGACAUCAAUUCCCGUAACGCCACAAUCACAAGCCAAACAUAAAAGUAAAUUACAAUGGGCUGCAAAUCAGUAAUCUCCAAACAAUUACUCGUCUAUGGUAGCAGAAAGUAGCAAUUUAAAAAAGGGAGUUACACAAACCAAAAUCCUAAAUUACAAUCCCUGCAAUCAAAUCAAUUAGAAACUCCCACGAGAACUAGAAAUAGGCAAGCAAUGGAGCUAACACUCAAAAUGUAAGUAAAAACAAACAAAAAUAAAGGGGCAAAGAAAUCCUACAUGAUCGAUCGACAACUUCAUACACAUUAAAUGAAAGAAAAAUGAUAAAAAAAUAAAAAACCAUUACAAAUCCUAAAAACAAACAUAAGUACAACUAAAUCCGAAGCAGAUCUCAAGGAUAAUAACACUCUCGCAGUGGAUUCGAGAUACAAUACCUUAGUUUAGUGAUCGACCAAGCGAAGGCGCGUCACCCUCCUCCCACGAAGCGAAAGAAGAGGCGAUUUAGGGUUCUCCGCAACGCUCGCCUCUCGAGCUCUCUCACUCUCGCUUUACGGCUUUACGAAGAGUGAGGAGAGGAGAGGAGGGAGGGUCGGGAUUUAGGGGUAGUGAGUGGGACAUUAUAAAGGAGGAGUUAUUCGAAAGGGUCGGAGAAGCGGGAGGGCAUCGUGCGAGAGCCCGGAAAACCCUAAUUUUUUGAAAUGUGCCCGGUCGAACCCGGUUCGAGACCCAACCGAACCCGACCGGAUUUUUUCGAAUCAAAUUUUAUGGUACAAAAUGAUUCAAAAUUUCGUUUUGCCUACAGCUUAGCUACCAAAAAGAAAUAAUAAUUUUCUUUUUUCUUUUUUAUUUUUUUCAGCGUCCGAAAGGUUAUAAUAAGAGAAUGUUUUCAAAGAUUAAAAUGGUCAUUAAAAACUAAAAGCACCCGGUUCGAUCUUCGUGGUUCAACUUUAUACUAAUACGAUAACAAUGAAAUAAAAUAACAUUAUCGUACUGUAAAGAGUAAUUAAUGUAAGUUUACUAGGCCGGUCCAUUCCUACUCACUUUCACCACGAACCGGUGGGCUCAUAAAGGCUGGAGAGUAACCGGUUUUAGGAUCCAUUGAACGUGCACCGUUUAUUUUAAGAAGGAAAACACUAGCUAUUACGGUUACUUUGUCGCAGACAAUUUCUGUAUAAGAACAAUCUAUAGCUAAUCAAUCAAACUAAGGAUUUAAGUACCAUGGUACAGUAUCGUAUCGGAAACUUGCCGGCACGAUAUGGUACGAUGCAUGUCGAAUCGUGCCGAUACGUGCCAGUCAAAAAAAUUCUUAUAUACCGACACAUAAUAGCAUGAAAUAUUUAUUUUCUUUAGCAAUAAAAUAUUUUAACUAUUUAUUAUAUUUUUUUAUCACAUCUUCUGAAUUUUAUUGAAAAAAUUACUUACUAAUUUAAAGAAUAGAGACUUUUGAGUUGUGCCAUCAACAUAGGGUCUGUAUCGUAUCGGUAUUUUGUUGGCACGGUACGGCACGAUGGAUACGGUCCGUGCCGACGGACACUUAAAAUUUUAAAUCAAACCGAAAGAAAAGGAAGGGCAUUCAAAAAAAAAAAAAACUCCAUCACCAGCAAGAGAUCCAACGGACCCAGAAGCACUUGAGACCACAGCAUAAUUUUUAAGCAGCAGCGGCAGGUAAUUUACCUUAGCUUCGGGCUGCUGCUUUACUGCGAACUUUGUGGUAUAUAGCUCGAGGGAGUCACUGCGGUUGGGGUCGAGGCACAGUGCCCCCUCGCAAUCCUGCUUCUCCCGCAAAACAGCACUUCGAAGGGAAACUUCUCAAACUGAUAAUUCUUAACUACACUUGUUAUUCAGCUGUAUAAAUGAAUGUACAUCUCAAAUUAAAUAUUAUUAGAUUUCUUUUCCACUAUCACACUAUCGAUCGUUAUUUCAAAUAUCUUAUCCUAUGUUUUUUUUCGAUUGUACAUUUUUCACCAUCCAUUAAUGACCAAUUGAUACAGUCAUAAUAACUUUUCAAAAAUCACGAAAUUUGAUUUUUUUUUUUUUUUUUACUUUAGUUACUUUUUCAUAUUAAAUGCUACGACUUGUCUGAAAAGCGAGUACGAACACCUUGGUGCUAUGACGGAAUAUAUAUCAAUCUAUAAACUUCCUUGUGUACUUCCAUAAAGCUCAAUCUAAACAAAUUGCAGAGAAUUGGUAGCCAAAAUUCUAUAUGAUGUGCAUUAUCAUUACAAAGGUGAACAGAGAGGCUCACUUUUUAAGCCUACUCUGCAUAUAAGUUGCUAUUUUAAGUCGAAAUAAAAUUACCAACAAAAUGGUCGUUGCGCAACUAUCCAUCACGCCGAAAUUAAACUCAAUCCAUGAGUUUGUAUCUUUUCUCCUGGACACCAGUAACUCCCAUCUGUAUCUCAAUAAUAGUAUGCAACGGAACCUACAAAUGCAAUAAGAGAAGCAUGGUUCAACUGCAAUAUUGGUCCCUAACCUUUAGUUACAUUUGCACUUAUAUUACUGAACUCUUUCUAUUCCAUUCCAUCAAAAAGUCCAUAAACCAGAACAAAUUGCCACAUUUUAAGGUACAACGUUGAGGCUACAGCGUUGAGCUGUUGACAUGACAAAACACGGUUCAAUGUGGAUAUGGCAAUUUCCGCCCAGUUAAUGGGCUUUUUGAUGGAAAAGAACUUGAUCAAAACAACUAAUAAACAUUGAAGACCCAAUUGAAAAAAAUAAAAUAAAAUAAAAUAAAAGGUUGGGGAAUGGUGUAAUUAUAUAUCAACCCAACUAAACACAAGAUCUAUAGAAAAGAGGACUUCAGCUGUCAACAUCGACUCACCUCAAUGUGAGGAAUUUCCUUCAAUGGUCUGUCGGCAAAAUAUGCAUAUAAUGCUCUUAAUACAGCCUACAUCACAAUUUAAAGAAUAAUAAUCAGUUGCUAUACAAAGUAAACAUAACAAUUGUACUACGAUCAACAGCAUUAGGUAUAUUACCUGGUGAGAUAUAACAACUACCGGAGCACGCUGCCGUUCCAGCUCGAUGAUCACAGGCUCUAAUCUGUAAAUAAAUAAGACUGUCAACCUAUGUGGAAUAAGCUAGGCGGUGUUAAUACAAAAUCUAUGAACAAGUUGAUAAUAAGAAUUUUAACCAAGUUAACAGUUUUCUGUGACAUAAAAUAACAAUAAUUCAACCUCUGAAUGACGUCAAGAUAAGAUUCUCCACGGGGAUACCGAUAUCUCAGCUUGUCCUUCUUACGUGAUCUGCAUUUAUGAACAAUAAAUAUACAUUUUCAAGUUAGAAACCUAAAGUAGUUGUAGAAGUUCUAAUUGAUCCCUUGCCUAUAAUUAACCAACUACUGGUACCAUAAGAUUAUAAGUAUGGUUCAGCCAAAUUAUAAGACGGCUUUCACCAACAAGAAGGACAGUCAGAUUAGAUUAGUUAUGACAGCAUAAGCUUUUCAAGUAUCACAUGAGAACAAAUUCGAGCGACCUUUUGUUCAUCCUAACAAAAGAUAUAGCAAGCACUGCCUUCUCUAUUUAAUAAUUAAAAAAAACAACCUAGAGUGCGGCUUCAAGGCAUACUCAUAUUCCUCUGGCAUGUUUUUCUUUAUCUCUUCAUAUGUCAUCCCAUCACACACCCCAGAAUUUAUCUCAUCAAGAGCACGCCAUUGUAUCUAAAAGCAAGCAAGAAAAUUACCUCAAAACUUAUUUAUCAACCAUAUAAGUACAGAUGAUAGAACAAACCAAUCUUGAAUUUACAAGUAUCUAAACAACCAACCUUUGGAAACCCAACAAUAGGAUUUGCAGUCAAUAUUGUUCUUUGGAGAGUGCUCGUCCAUAUCUAUGGCAUGGCAUAAGCAAAAUAAUGGAAUAAGAAAAGUACAUCCAACUUGCAGUAAGAAAAUAACUCUGUAUUACAACUAAUGAUGAAUAGACCAAUGAGAAUCAUUUUGUGGGAGAAAUGCAUCUCUUUUGACAAAUACUGGAGAGGUCAAACAUGCAGUUCUGCUGAACAUCGCUCACAUUUGCUCUAGAACAAGGAAAUUUUGUUUCACAAUAUAUUCAUCAUUAAAAGGAUGGCCAUUGAUAUCAACAAUACCAAGCCAACACAAAUCUAACGACAAAGUUGGAAAAGUUUGAGACAUGUCAACAACACAACAGAAUUAAGGGGGAAAAAAGAAGAAAAAAAACUUCAUAAUAUCCACAACCUAAUCAUCUAUAACAGCAUGUAAGAACAAAGAGAUUCUUACUGAUGCAGUCUUCUCAUGUUUCAGUCGUUUCUCUACGAAUUUGGCAAGUUUCUUUGCAUAAAGCUCCCCAGCAUCACUGCAAAAAUUACAUUUAUCAGAAACGUCAUUAGUCACAAAAGGCACUACUGUCAAAUGAAUGUUUGAGGGAUAGUCCAUGUGUCAAUGCUUUUGUUACUGUUCGUUAGAUACAAACGCUAACCUUUUCAAAUAUAGUUAGAGAUGGUAAACAUUAGUGUAUGAUGCUGUUUUACAGGACAAAAAAAAUCCAUGGCACCUUUUUUUUUCAAAAAAAAAAAUGUAAGUAUCAUUUUUAAACGGCUGUAUGACUGAAUACAUAUGAUGCAUCAAUACCACAGGAAGUUUGAGCCCACAUUUAUCAAGCAGUAAACUGCAUGAAGAACAAAAGUCAAGACAGAGUAGACCUCAAAACUGUGUCACCACCAAUUGUUCCAUGAACAUUGUCUAGACUUUCACCAUGUCUGGUAAGCAGAAUAGGACGAGGUGUCAGAUGAGUAUUGACCUGCAAUCAAAUUAUGACCAGCUUAUACAGUAUACGCCAUCACAAAAGCCUUUAGCUACAAAAUGAUAACAUAUACAAGGUCCACAUCAUUGAUUUCCAUUGCAAGAAGUGACAUCAGAUAAACCCAAAAGUAGGAGAAACGAACUAAAAAGAUCGAUUGUAAAGAUUACAAUUAUUUUUUAAGCUUAGCACUAAGAAGAAGGAGACUAUGUUUCUCCAUUCAGGAAUGCUAUUGACAAAAACAUGAGUCAAAUUCUACCAGCCUUCCCUUUGACAAUUUUAUCAUCCAAAACGAAAAGGCUAAUUCUGAGUAUCAGCCAAUAUUUCAAGACAUCUUUGAAUAGUAUUUAUGUCCAGUGAAUUCUGAAAAAUGGAAUUGGCACAAGUAUCAGUAUCCGACACAUCCGAUACGGACAAAACAGCUAAAAUGAAGUAUCAGUGCAUCAUGGUUGAAAAGUAAGAAAAUGAAAAUUUUGAUCCCAGUUCAUAAUAAAAGUACGAUAGUUACAUAAUAGUUCAGCGACAGAAAAAAUUUGAGAGCGCUUCUCCAAAGGAAAAUAUAUUUUCUACAAUAAUUGGUAGUGAAGGAUUGCAAUAAAACUUACCAAGAAGAAGACAAUCCGCCCAGGAAGGUAACCACUAAUAUUGUUGACCUGGAUAUUUACAAACAAUGAAAUUAUGACUCUAAAGAUGAAAGAACAAAAGGCAAUGAAGAUUGUAUGCACCAAUAUGCUACAGAAGCCCACAAGCAUUUGAUAAAGACACUCAAUCCUCAACCUUCGCUACAGAUUGUUCUUGAAAAUCAAAAUUUUAGCUGAAGUAAAGGAUAAACAAGCCAUCUGGGUGUAACUUGGAAGUUAAAAGUACAACACCUUAAUAAAUUAGAGGAACCGAAUUUUAUAAAAAGUUCAAGCCACUUUCAGAAAAAGCAAGUGAACCAAGUUUACAAGAAAUAUGAAGGAAACCCCACAUUUGCAAGCAAAUGCAAGAACAGAAGGUGAAAAUACUUUCUUCAUAGCGUAUACAACUCCCCGUAACUAUCCUUACUGAAGUUUGAAAAAUGCCUAUAAAGUAGCAACCAAGGCGAAACUUGAAAAUUUUCUCUACACUGCGCAUGCUCACAGAAAAAGAUACUUACUUGCAACUGCCCACCAUAUCCGUUGACCAUGUCAAUCAUUUUGAUAUAAGAGCCCUCUUCUACUGGCUCAUAGACCUGUAGGAGGGCAGGUAUACUUAGUUUCAAACCUUAGAAGAUUUUGAACUUAAAGAAUCCUACCUCGUGCACACAGCUACAACAUUAAAGUCAUUAUUUAGGACCUUUUCAUAGUUGGCCAGGCGUUCUUUGAAGUCUCGUAGACCAGCUUCAAAAUUUGGCCUGUAAAUGAGCAUCAAUCUUUGCCAUCACUACAUCUUUGAAUAUGAAGGCAACCGACCAAAAAGUAGAUAAUGUAAGGUUUCUCACUCUUCUGCAUAAUCUGGACUCUGUUGAAUUUUUAGGCGUAUAUUUCUUUCAAUUAUGCGUUGAUCAUUACAUAUUGUUUCCAAAAAUAUGAUCUGUGAGGUAAACAAUAAAGCAAUAUGUUAAAGACCAGAUAUCUGCAGCAUCUAAACUCAACAUUUAACAAACUUCUGUUGCCCAAUACACCAGAAAUAAGGAGUAAGGAUCAAAAUUUCUUAAUUUCAGUUUUGACAAUCGUAGGUUAUAAAUAUGAGAAAUGCUACUUGUACACCCAAAAAUGGGGUGUAAAUCUUACACCCACCCACAUCCAGCAGUUUUGGGUUUUUAAUAUUCAAAAAAAAAGGAUUGAUAAGACUAGUGUGGGAAUGGCCCUUGGACAGGUCGGGUGAAAGAUUUACACCUACUUUUUGAGUGCACAGGUAACAUUGUUCAUAAAAUAUAUGUAACAGACCAGUUAACUGUUAGUUGACCAUUUUAGUCAUCAGACCUCAAUACCUAUUAGGCCCAUCCCUCAAAAAUAAAAAAACAAUUUAUAUAUUACAGAGAAAAAAAGAAAAGAGAGGCAAGCUUGGAUCCACUAAGAAGUGAUUUUUAUAGAAAUAGAGACCCCUGCAGCAUUCCCCCCUCUUCUCUCUCCUCUGCUUUACUUUUCGCAAGGAUUGUUGAAGCAGCCAGCCAGGCAGCCAAAGGGUUGCAUGAACUACUUCAGGGAAGAUGACAAAAUAUGAAGAAACCAAAAGGGAGAAAACCAAGUAUAGAGUAGGCUACUGAAAUUUUACAAGCACCUUGCAUUUUCCUUCAGCCAUUUGCAUCAGCAUAUUUCUUCGACAUCUACUGCUGUUUGUGGCAUCAAAAAUACCGACCUAUGGCCCAAGUGAAACUAAUCAGUGGUCUAUAAUGAUAUUUGCACACAAAAUGCAAUGAAACACAUCAUUUGACCUGGCCACCUUCCUGCAUCCAAGCCAGCAUAUCCUCCAUUGCUAAGGCCGCUACCUGGCAUCAUGCAAUUCAAGAGUACAAAAAUUUUCAAGUAUAUUCCAUAGAAGAACCCUCCUCUUUACAAACUCAAAAUAGAAAUUCAAUUUCUCAACUAGAAUUAGGCAAAGUACAGAUCCAAUAAUGUAAUACAAAGAAUGGAAGGUAUUCUGUGACUUUUUUUAAUAACUAGGGGCAACUAGUAUCAUCCUAACCUCAUUACGGGCCUCCAAGCCUUCUCGAUUAUCAGCACGAAAAAAAUCUGCACUCUGAACAAUUAAACUUUUAGUCAGAAACUUUAGAACAAUAGAUUAUUAGAAGUGUGAUAGAGCUGGCACAGAGGAAUUUAUAAAGCAAGUGUAGAACUCUCUAAAAAGCAUAAUCAAGAAAAGAAAUCUAGGAAGUUAGCAAGAAACAACAAAUAUCCAAAAUGCUAUACUCAGUAUACAGUCCAGCAUAUAAAUAACAAAAAGAAAUCAAUUUUUCUCAAAACUGUAGAAGGUUCUUAUAUCAUUCCACAAAAAGAAGUAUAAAGUUUCUGCUCAAAUCAUGCCCAAUCAUAACAUUCCAAUCACACAUACACACACACACACACAGGGAGGGAGACUUAAACAUAUUAUUCAGAAACGUCAGAAAAAAUAUAUCAGACAUUCAGACUAUAAAGAUAGCAAAGGCUUUCCUGGUCUACAUCUUCUCAACAUAAUUGAAUGAUGGCGCAAAACAUGUCACUAGACAUGGUCUCUGUUGGAACAAAUUUCUUCUCUAACUCCUAAAGGUACAAGACUAAUACGGCUUUAUGUUUGACACAGAUCCUUUAUGGACCCAUGCAGAAGAUAAUGCAAAAAAAAUGUCCACAAUAGCACAUACUCAUAACACCUAUCUCUCAUGUGAAAAAGCAAAUCAGAAACGUCCGGGUAAAUGUAAAAGAGCAAGUAAUGGCAGACAGUAAUUUGAAAUGAACUGGCAAUUAUGGAAUAGAUUUCCAAGUGAACAAUAUAUAACAAAGGGUUUAAUUCAAGAAGACAUCCACUAUACCUGAUUUGCUCCAUGCUUCAGUCGGCGAUACUGUAGCAAAUUUUGGUAUAUUAGUAACUACUUUAUAUCAAAUGUAGCAAAAAAGAAAUCUUCUGGCUUUACGAAGCACAAUGUAUCAUAGUAAGAAAUAAAAUACUCACCUUCCCAACAUUAAAAUGUUUGGUUUCAUGGCCUAACCAUCGAAGAUAUCGUGUGAGCUUAGCUGCGGUGAAGGUCUUUCCUCGAGCUGGCAAACCAACCUAAACAAAAGCAAAUAACAUCAAGAAACAAACAACAAGGAGAAUUUUCUCUUUAGUAGAAGAGAAAAAAAAUAGCAGAUAACUUGUCCCAGCAAAUCAUCUAAUCAUUCAAGCCUUCUCCCACGAAAGUGGAGACAAUAGAGUAAAACAUCUCCUUCAUAAUAAUGUCUUAAAUGAAAAAAUUGAGCAUGAUAGAGAAACACUCCAAACAAGAUGCGGAAUUCAAUCUUAGUUACAUUACCAGCACAAUGGCCAAUCGGCAAUCUUCCUUUGGUCCAUGCAUCUGAUCAGCUACAGCUGCUGCUGCAACAGCUCCUGCUGCCGCUGGCAUGCCCUUCUAACAUAGAAUACAAUGAAGUAAACAUAAAAGUCACCUAUAGAUACUCAUUCUUGUGAUGAGUAAAUGUUCAGAGUACAAUAGACUGCAGCGUGGAUUAUAAUCCACAAGGCAAAUAAAGAAAAAUUAAUCUAGGAAAGCAAAUUGACAAAAGCAACACAAACCUUCGCUUCAGCAUCCAACUUGAGAUCACUCACAAAAGCACUGGCACUAGCUGAUUUGACAAGCCUUGGAGAGCCAACACCCCUAUCAACAAAGAGCCCUCUUUGACCAUCUUGCUUUUGAAAUGUUGAAAAGGUGCCAACUGAUUUUGACUCUACCAUACCAGAAAUUGGAAAAGCUCUAGAGGGUUCCGGAACUGUGACCUCAAUAUCCUGCAGCAUUAACAAAACAAGAUGUCUAUCAACUUUUUAUUUUACGCUAGCACACUUGGGCAUCAUCUCUGUCUUAACGAUGCCGCCAGAUAUUAUAGGCUAGAUAGAAAAUUAUGCAUAGGGAGUGACGUAAUUCAGAAUUGAAUAAACAGAAAGCAACCAAAAAAGGCAUCAAUUCUCUGACUAUCUAAUGAAUUGUCCCAUAUCCAAGUUCACUACAGAGGCAAAGCAAACACACAAAGAGUUGAGGUAAUACCUUUCUAAUGUUACUACAGUCAGCAGAAGACAGAGCAGCUUUAGUUGAAGAGUGUAAACUAUUACUUGUGAUACCACUUUUGGAGGAAAUUCCAGUAUGAAAUAAUGAUCUUGGACUCUCAGUCAGAUUAGCUGCAUAAACAACACCAGAGCUAGUAGUUGGUGCUGGAACAACAUACUGCUCUAAAUCAAGCUCCAAACUAGCAGCAGAACCAUUCUGUUGGAAGAGAAGAAGGCAUAUAAUAAGAAACAUCUCGAUUGAAAAGAAACAUAUUAUAAGAAUAAUAACAUGAUCAGCAAUUGACAGCAUAUAUGAUUUGUGGUCAGAACAAAUCCUAGUGCAUAACAAGAACCAAUGGAGAGGCUUCUGGCACCUAGCUGAAACUCAAGGUGAAGUUAGAGAUGGUAUACUGUUCAGAGGCAGCAUUUACUUUCACUCCAAAAUACUAAUUUAUAAGACGAUAUUGAUCCCAAGACAGUUUAAUUCCAUUUAGUGUUCCAAUUAAUGGUAUGCUCUUAAAGCAGUCACUCUGUUCACCUGGCAGUGGAAUAGUAAAGUUAACUCUUUUUAAAGUUUGUGUUGAAUUAGGCAACGGCCAACUCCUCAUGAUUCUAUAAUCUAAUCAAUUGUUAGUAAAUGGAUGGGUUAAUACUAUUCAUGCACAUCUAAUUUAAAACUAACCUAAUCCUCUCACAAGAUAUUUUCAUAAUAAAUUUAGGCAUUAACCAACUAAUUCACAUUAUAGAACAUUUAUACUUGUAUCUAGUACACCACAUAUCUCAAAUGAAGAUUCAAGAACAUAACAAGAAGAAAAUAGGAACUAAUUUAUACAAAUAACAUAUGAACUCCCCAUCUCCACGAAGAUUCGAGAAAUUAAAAAAGAACAGAGAGGUACAAGAAACCGAUUAAGUCAUAACCUCAACUCCUGAAUCAGGCACCACAUUGAUCGUGAUAUCAGGGAUCCCUCGCACUCUCGAGGGCCGGAGAUUCUCCUGAUACGCCCUCCAACUCGCCGCGAGAUCAAAUGGCGACACAAUAUCCGCCUUAAUGAAUACCUUGCAUUCAAGCACAUCCUCAUCGCCUCUCAGCUUAAACACCGCCAUCCGCGCGUCGCCCUCAAGCGUGCCGCCUGUUAGCACCCGAUUCGGCCCCUCUUCCACCACGCACGGCGAAUUCCUAUACUUAGGCUUCAGCAAGAACUUGAAAUCCAGGGUUUCUACAAACAAUCCGAGCAAAUAAACAAAACCUAGUUGAUAAACUUAUCACUCUCCAAACACUCGAGAAGCAGAGCAUACCGUGAUUGGGAGGGACGACGAAGCUGAGCUCCCACAUCGACGCUGACUCUCGUUCCAUCGAGAACUACAAGAUUAGCGACGUUUGACGCCCUAGAAUUCGGAAAGCAAGAGAGAAUCGAGAGGAGGGACGAGGAAGAGGAUGAGAUGUGUACGGCUUUGGCAGAAUCCCAGGAACCGAUGAUGGGGACGGAGCCAUAGACGUGGGGGAUGAGGUCGGCCCUGAUGCGAAAGUUCUCCAUCUUCAGCGAGACGUAGAGUUGCCCCCCGCCCUCUCUCCCGCCAUGGGAGCUAUCCGAGCUCUUGGAGGAGAUCGUCCCCAUCGCCGCGGAGGCGCAAAACCCUAGGUAGGGUUCAAUGGCGCCGAUGGAAGAGGGUAGGGAUGAUGAUAGGGGAGGAGAGAGGGAGAGAGUGAUAUAGCAUGGGGGGGAUGAGAAUAGCUUCGUAAAAUGGUGGUUGAGAACGAGAUUCGGGUGGGGAGGAGGGAGAGAUUGCGACGCGACGGACUGAGACGCGGGGGGUGGUGGGAAAUUGGUGAGUAUCACUGCAUGAGCCUGGUCUACAAUAGACCGGUAACUAAUAACAACACUUACAACACUUUGCUCUUUUUGCUGAGGUACAUUUAAUUCUGCAUAAAAUAAAUCAAAAUUUUAAUUUUAAUAUGCAUAUAAAUUUUUAAAAAAUUAACAUUUUUUUAUUAUUUUUUAUAUAAAAUAAAGUUUCAAGCCGCAUAAAUUUUUUUUAUUUUUUUCCCACCAAACCAAACAAAUAUGAUUUUUUUUUUCAACCAAACAAAUAUUAAUAAAAAAUUAUUUUUUCCUACAAUCAAACACAACAAAACGUAAAAUCUUUUUUCCAACGAAAUAUUAUUUUUCAGGGCUUUUUUUGCAAAUAGCCCCCUUACAAUUUUUUUUUUUAAAAUUGGCCCUAUAAAAAAUUUAUUUGCAAAAAUGGCCCUGGCUCCGCCACGCAAGCGCCAUGUCAGCGCCACGCGGGCGGGGCUGGGCCAGAUGGUUAAGUUGAACACGGUGAACCAUUCACCGUGUUCAAUACAAAGUUUUUGUAUUGGACACGGUGAACCAUUCACCGUGUUCAAUACAAAGUUUUUGUAUUGGACACGAUGAAUGAUUCACCGUGUCCAAUACAAAAUAGCAAGACCGAAAUAUUUGUAUUGGACACGGUGAACCAUUCACCGUGUCCAAUACAAAUAAUUAGACACGGUGAAUGGUUCACAGUGUCUAAUACAAAUACCUCCAACUUAGCCAUUGUAUUGGACACGGUGAACCAUUCACCGUGUCUAAUACAAAAAUCUUGUAUUGAACACGGUGAAUGGUUCACCGUGUUCAACUUAAACAUCUGGGCCCGCCCUGCCCGCGUGGCGUUGACGUGGCGCUGACGUGGCAGGGGCAGGGCCAUUUUUGCAAAUAAUUUUUAGACGGGGCUAUUUUUGCAAAUAAAAUUUGUCAAGGGGCUAUUUGUAAAAAAAGCCCUAUUUUUCACAAUUUUACGUUGAACCAAACGGACCUUAAAUAGCACUGUCACGCACAAUCCAUAUGUAUACCCCAUUAUAUUGUUAAUAUGUUGACAACAUUAUCAAUAAAUUUUUAAUUUUUAAUUAUAAUUAUUCACGCAUAUAUAACAGCGAAUCAAUAAUAAAAUAGAUCAACUUAUAUCAUUUCUAGUAAUUAAAAGUAAAAAAUACAAUAUAUGUAAAAUUUAAUAGCUAAUCAGUAGAGGAACCAACUUGCAAUUUGGAGAUAGUGCAAGGCCAACUAGAUGUUUUACUCUUAAGUUUACAACCGGCGUUUGCUGACGUGGUGGACCCGGAAUAAUGGCUCAUGGUUGACGGGGGAGUUUUUCCUGUACUGAUUUGCCUGACGUGGCGGAUAGGUCGGGGGACGGCUCUUACGAGGAUUACGAACUACAAAGCGCGAUUUGAGUAUAAUGAUGAUAUAAAUAUAAAUAAAUAAAUAAACAAGUGAUUAUUUUAAGAUUUGUAAUCUGUGUUCUUUUUCUUAGAUUUGCUCGUCCUAAAUGGUCCCGUGAUUAUCUCGUACAAGUUUAAUUAAGGCUUAGAGGGCGUAAUUAUGAGCUCAUUUGUUUCCGUCUCCAAGUGUAGUUGGUUCUGGAACUUGGAAAUUGCAAGAUCGAAGUUAGCCACCAACUGAGACAAAAAUUUUAUGGGCACCGACUCCAAAUUACUUAAUUUGGGGCAGGUCCCCGAUGGGCGCCUCAUGGCACAGCUGCCACCCGGCGUCCAUCCUCCACUAUUCUCCCAGGGAGAGCGGUGAAAAUUUUGGGUGCACCUGGUGCAUCUAUACUAGGCGCACCAUAAAUUAUUUUUUUAUUUUUAUUACUUUCAAUUUUUUUUUGAAACCAAAUAGAGUGUAAAAUUUUAACUUCUACAUGAUAAUUCCUAAAAAAAUAAAUAAAUUAUUACAUAAAAUUGUAAUUUUAAAAAAUUAAAAAUUAAUUUUAUGGUGCACCUAAUAUAGAUGCACCAGGUGCACUCGGAAUUUCCACUGCUCUCCCUACAUUGGGAGAGCAGUGGCCUAUAGGCGCCGCGUGGCACCUGUGCCAUGUGGCGCCCAUCGGGGACAGGCCCCAAAUGAAGCAAUUUGGGGCCGGUGCCCAUAGAAUUUUUGUCCCACCAACUGUUUCUAAAGUAAGUUACAAAAAAUUUAAUGAUUGAUAUAUGACAUUUCAAAUUCAAUAUUUAGUUGCUAUUAUUGUUCUAAAAAAUUAGCGAAACAAGUAGCAUAUUAUUUUUCUCUAAACAAAUAUUAGCCAUGGAGCAAUGUUUGGUAACAUCAUUUUUAUUUGAAAUUGUGGUUAGAUUGCAUUGUAAUGUUUGGUAACAUCGUUUUUAUUUGAAAUUGUGGUUAGAUUGCAUUGGGUGCACGGACAAAGUACGAAAGCAAAAUAUUAUGUUUAUACUAAUCAAAUUUUUAGAAUGAUCGACAGCGGUACGUAACAAACUUAGUAAUUUUACUCGCAAAGUUCUUAAGGCGCCUGUCUUUACCAACGAAGAUGGACAAAUUCUAUUCUCUAUUUACUAGUCCAGACCACCGCACCUUAUAAUUAAAUACAAAAAAGAGAAAAGAGAAAAACAGAGGUUAUCUGAAAAACCUAAGUACUUUUGUUAUACUUAGUAAAUAACAUAUAAAUACAACUCUCUCUUGUUGUCUAGGGCCUCAUCCUGAUCCGCUAUUUAUAGGCCUCAUUUGUAUAUUAAAUACAGCCACUAAUAGCCAAGAAAAAUGGUAAAGAAAAACUAUUGAGUUGCCUGUGACCAUCGGACGUCCACCGAUAGUUUUAAAGGCCAGUAAGUUAUUUUUUUUAUUUUAUUUAGAAAUAAACUUAGCUGGAAAUGUGAAUCAACUAGAAUUCGAAUUUGAAACUUCGGGUACCAACCACCAAGCCUUUUGCCAUUUACACUGGGGACGGUCGGUGUCUCCCGCAGUAAGUUGCUGAAACAAUAUCCCUUCGGUUGCCCAUUUCCGUUAGUGAAGUUGUGCCAGUAAUUUGCCCGGAUGGAAAUUUUUUUAAGUCCCCGAUAAGCAGCUGUGCAUUUGAAGCCCUCAUAUCUAAGGAUGAUUAUGGGCCAGAAUCAAAUGGGUCAUUAGGCCUGAGUGCGAGAGCUAUGAGUGGGAUCACUGGAUUGGACUGGGUUCUAGCCCAACCCUCCGCCUCUCUACAUAUCAUUUUUCGUAAGUAUAUGAUACAUCACAUAAAUCACACUCCGGUUAAGAUGCGACUUCCCAAUCACAUCUGGGUGUAUUUAGUUCCACGUAAAAGCAGCUAAUUUUUUUUUUUCAGUCUAAAAUAAAAUAUUCUAGCUUUUGUUUUGGCGUAAAAUAAUUUUCACGAUAAAUUAUUUUACGGAUUUGAGGAAAAAAAAUGGUUUUUCAUUUUCUGCCGAAAUGAGGAGGAAACAAAAACUCACCUGGCUGAAACAAGCAGCGCAUGGCGUUCCUCUAUAUCGCGGUCCACGAACUUAUGUGAGAGCUAGUGGACCGCUUGAGUGGUCCACAUUGGACCACUCAGCCACUCCCUCUCUCUCUCUCGUGUGUGUGAGAGAGAGAAAAAUUAUUAUACAUAUUUUAUAUUUUUAGUUAUAAAUAUUAUAUAUCUUUAUUAUAUUUAUAGUGUUAUAUACAUACUAUUACAUAUGUCAUAUUAUAUGUUUAUCAAUUUAUCAUAUUAUAUAAUUUUGAUAUAUUUAAUUCAUAAAAUAUAAGUUAUAAUAAAUGAUAAUAAUAUAUAUAACUUAAUAAUUAAUAUAAAUAAACAAUAAAUAGAAGUUAAAAUAAAAGAAAAAAAUAAUUUAUUUUUUUUCGUUCAAUUAAAUAAGUGUGGCGGAAAACUAUUUUUCUUUUUCUUCGGGCCAAAUACCACAAGUUAAAAAAAAAUUUCUACAAAAAAAUUUUUUACCGAUUUUUUAUUUUCAGUUUCACGAGGAACCAAAUACACUGUUCAGUCAAAAAAAAGGAAUAAACAUGUUGAUUUAUGUUAUGGCCUGAUUUUUUAAAAAAAUUUUGGGCACAGUAAUGCCUAAUGAAUUCUCAACUAGUUAAGGAACCCGUGCUACGCAACGGGUUCAUUUAUUUUCUUUAUAAAUAAUUAAUAAAUAAUUAAAUAUAUUUUUUAUAAAGUAAAUAAUAAUAUAUUUUAAUUAAUUAAAUAAGAAAGUUUUAGAUACAUUUUCACAUGCGCUCAAUUGUAUCAGAUAUACAAGUUUUGAUUACAAACAAUAAUGCUGAUCUUAACAGUCGUUCGGGUUCAAAUUGUAAAUUCAUUAGUUUAUAUUUUAAUUAUAAUAAAACUUUAAAAUAUAUAAUUAUUUAUGCCUAAUUUUUAAAUAUUUUAGAUUGUAUGUAUUAAAUAUUAAUUUUAAUUUUAUAAUUAUUUAGAUAUAAAUAAUCCCAUUUUUUGCUCCCAUCUUUUUAAAAGACACUAAAUUAAUGUUUUUAUAAAAAUAUAUUGUUAAUUACCAAUAAAUACAUAAAAUAUAGUAACUAAAAAUAUAAAGGCAAAGCAAUAUCAUUCAACCAAAUCAUUAAUAAUACAGUUUAAAAUUUAAAUUUUAAAUUAAAUUAAAUUCAUUUUUCUAUGUAGUCGUGCAUAACACUCUAAAAAUAAGAGGCGGUUAGCAAAGAAAACCACCAAAACAUCACAAAAAGAGAAGAGAGCAUAGGAGUGGGUUUAAAACUAGAUAAACAAUUUAAUAAUGAAUAAAAAGCUCAUUAUAAUAUUAAAAAAUAACAUAACUCAGUUUUUUAUUAUUAAUCUGUGUAGAACUUACAAAAUAAAAAGAAAGUUAAUUUAAAGUAAGAAAUACUACCUUCUGUUGAUUAUCAACAAUAAAUUAUUAUAUAUUUUAAAUAAAAUGAUUAAAAUAUCAGUAUAUAUAUAGAAGAGCAGAGAGCACGAGAGAAGAGACGAGAGUGAGGCUACUAUGCUAUUGGAAGCACGGAGCCUCCUGUGCUUCCCACGCUCUGUUCGAUGUUGCGAUUCUUUGAAUCGUUCGGAUCGGCUCGCUUAAACAUUGAUCUAGAGUAUUUAGAGUACUAGAAAAUAAAUUUAUUAUUUUUUUGAUAUCAUUUGCCUAGUGAUCGAAUGGGCUCAAAAUCAACAAAUGUCAAUGGCCGUAGUGAGCGUUUGCAAGUUUUAACGGGUGUACAAAACAAACUUCCAACCGAUGAAUAUCUUAUAUACUAUAUCGACAAUAUCUUUGAUUAAUAUUAUUCAUAUUACAAUAGUAAUUUUUUUUUUUCACAGUUACUAGACCCCUAUUCCCUCGCCCAGGACAAGAUAUCGUAACAUAUAUUAUAUAAUUCUAAGACAUCCACAUCAAGUUAACGGAGCCGAUCGACAAAGAAACGCCAGAAAACGAACAGGACACGAAAGUCAAUACAUACCAUGCAUAGAAACUAACCCCUCACUCUAUAAUAUAAAAAAUAAAAAAAAAAGUAUAAUAUAGAAAAUAAAAACAUAAUAUAUAAUACCUACCCCGCCAUAGUAAAACACAACUACAACUAAGUAUCGAUAAAUAUAGAGAGGACGAGCAAAACAAAAGCAAUUAUUAUUACACCCUUCAGAAGCGGUCCCACCUCACACACAAGCGUGCAAGAGAAGAUAAAGCCUGCCUAAUCUUAUUAUUCUGGAAUGCGACUAAUACCAGUGCCGAGAGACACGCCGCGCCGCGCCAGAUGCCCCACGGCAGCGCCUGCGCGUCGCGUGUCCGCCCCCGCUCGCGCCGCCCCCUUGCUCCGCGCUCGUGCGCCCCCUCGCGCCCCUCGAGCCCGCCGCCACGUGUCUACCCAAAAAUCCUCAGUUCCUAAUUUAUAAGUUUAUAAAUUGUAAUUAUUAUCAUUUAAAUAAUAAAAUGACUAAAAAGGUCGAAAAAGCCGCCCCAGUUAGCUGACUCUGGCGCAAAUGGUGGUGGGACCCAUUAGAGACCAUUUUAUUCUUACACCGCGAACCUGAUUCAUGGGUGCUAUUAACCGAAUUUAGUCAAAUUGAAAAUGAUUGAUAUUCUGUAGAGAAUUAAAAUUUCCAAUUAAUUGAGCUCCUUGGUACGAGGAGCAUCUAGAAAAGUUCGGAAACUUUUUACCUGGACCCGGUCGACCACAUUAUCCGUGGACCGGCAAAUGCAUCUCCACUCAAUCUAUUUCUACAUCAAUCUCGUCACCCAGUAUUAAUUUUUUGUUUCAAUUUAAAAAUCAUCUCCUUUUUGGAGCGGUAGAGAUUCCAAAUAAAUAUGCGGUGAAGAGCGAUGGUCUGGUGGACCGGGUUCAGCGAACAACUUCUCAGUCGCGUGGUCACGUAUGAGAGAGAAACGUUGGGUGCAACUUCGCCGGUGCGGAGAGGAUGCAAAACCGGGGAAGUUGGAGCAUACAAAGGGCCACGUGGUUUUGCUGCUUCCACCCUGUUUUUGUUGACCACGCUAGUUGAAGAGCUUCAAUUUAUUAAAUCAUAUAGUUUAUUAUAAAAAAAAAAGUAUGUUAUUCGAUUUAUUUUUUUAGAAAUAAAUUUAGUUAAAAAUAUAAAACAACUAGUCUUUAAAUUUAAAAUUUUAAAUACCAACCACUAAAUUUUUUAUAUCAUACACUAGGGAUGAUCGGCUGUCAUAUUUAUUCUAAAUUUUGAUAGGUUGCUUACUUGGAUUUUAAUAAUACUGCAUUAAAUGACGGAUAUAAAACGAGCAAACUAAAAAAGCUAAAAAAUAGGGAAAACUUCAAAUACCCGCCCUGUGGUUUCGCACUUUCUCACUUUAGUACCAUGUGGUUUAAAGUGUAUCAAGUUAGUAUCCUGUGGUUUCACACUUUCUUACUUUAGUACCCUGUGGUUUUAAGUAUAUCAAGUUAGUACCAGAUGAUUUCAUUUUUGUAUCAAGUUAGUACAAUAUGGUUUUAAUUUUUUCUUUUUAUUAUUCAUUUCGGAAUAUAUAAUUUAACGAAAUAUUAAACUACAGGAUACUAAAGUGAAAAAGUGCGAAACCAUAGGAUAUUAACUUGAUACACUUUAAAUCACAGGGUACUAAAAUAAAAAAGUGCGAAACCAUACGGGGGUAUUUGAAGUUCCUCCCAAAAAAAUAUUAUAUUUUUGUUAUUUGAACUUUUUCAUUUUUCUUUUUUUUUUCUUUGAAAAUAAAUGUGAAGACGACGUGGGAAGUGCAUACCUAUUAAUUGUUGAAUAGUCGCUUCUAAUCGUUAAUUUAUCUGUUAAAAUUAGAGGAAACAAAAUGACUAUUUGGAAUAGUAUUGUUCUUCUUGUACUCCGCAGCGAAUUUUCUUCUGAUCACUAUCAAAUUUCAUGCAACUUAUUUUUUAGAAAUAAACUUAUCUAUAAAAUAAAAAGUAAAUAGACUUCAAAAGUGAAAUUUCAGAUCUAAAUUAUUAAGCUCUUAACCAAUUAUGUUAAGCACAGUGAGUAUAAAUUAAUCCAUUUUAGUGUAGGAAUUAAUCCAUUUUCACGUAACUUUUGAUGUGAAAAUAAUAAUGCAUACCUACAAUUGAAAAUUAAUAAAGCACAGUUAAUUUGUUUUCUAUAUAGCAUAAUCCUACUAAGAUGGCGAGCUUAUUAAUAGUACUUAAAGUUAUUUCUCUCAUCACUUUCCUGCAUAAUUAGUAUAUUUAAUCAUUUCCCAUCAUUUAACCAAAUUAAAAUGAUUGUUUUAUUCAGAUACCAUCAAAUUAAUUUAAACAAAAUUAACUGAGACAUUUCCUAAGUAAUAUCAUCCCAUAAUCUUCAGAACCAUGCAUGAUGCAUGUGACGUUUGUUGUUGCAGUGAUAGAGUCCCCGAAGUGCCAGGCAAAUAACAUAAUUUAAUAAGGAUAAAGUGCAUUUACAUGGAUAGCAUCUUCAAAGAGAUUUUUCUUUUUGACAAUCAAUAAUUUAUUUUUUUUAAAAAAAUGAAAUUGUUUCAUUCAACUGAAUUAUACUUUAUCACUAUAUGAUAAUUUUUUAAAAAAUUAAGGAUAUAUAACAGAGCAAAAGUUCAAAUCUAAUUUUGUAGGAAUUUAUAUCAAAUUUUGUUCUGUUAACUCGUGGCUUCGAUUUCUAUACGCGUUUUUGUUGGCUACUACGAGCCAAUGUUUGACUCAAGAUCUCCACACCAAAUGAUUUGUGAGCCACCGUAGGUGUCUCUCUCCAGAAAGAAAUAUUUGUUUUCUCUAGUUAAUCCUAGUAUUGCCUCACAGUAAUGGAAUGGCUCUCGUUUAUUCUAAUUAUUUCUCGAAUGAACGACCACUAUAGUUAUUUUAUGACAUAAGAUGCACAUAAUCGAAAGUAAUCUCCUUAUAUCUUCCUAUAUUUUUCUAAGUAAAUCAAGCAUAAGCACGCAAAAUUGCAUACCUUAAUACGAGAGAGCGAAUGUUAACUGAGAUGCGAAAUAGGAAAUCAAAUUGGUGGGAUUUGGAUCAAAAUUUUAGAAGUAUUUACAAAAUGCAAGUCGAAAAUAAGAAUGCUGCAUAGCCCAGUUAAUCUCUGACUCAAUCAAAUAACACACUAAUUAGUUGAAAAAUUAUAAAUAAUUUAAUAUGAUAUUUGAUAAUAAUGCAGAGUAAUAAAUAAAUUGCGAAGCGAUAGCAAGUGAUUGAGAGCUCGGUGGUUAAUUGGCAUCUGAAGUCUCAAGUUCGAAUCCUAAUUGAUUCACAUUUCUGGCUAAGUUUAUUUCUAAAUGAAAUAAACAAAAUAGAUAGCAUGCUACCUAUCUCUCUCAAAAAAGAAAAAAUUGUGAAUCGUAAGAAAAGCAAGUAUUGAAUCAAUCCUUUUUCUCUCAUGGACCAAAACAUAAAUCAAUUUAUGCAAAUACUACAUCGAUAAUUUUUAAUGAUUGAUGAUCGAUUGAAAUUGUUGAGUCCGGCUGGGAUACUAUCAAUAGCACCAAGGACCUGACGUUAUUGAGUUUUCUACUGUUAGAUCUAACCCUUGAAUUAUUUUUAUCCGUUAGAUUAUACUAUUUAACCAACUACCCACUCAAUCCUUAAAGGCCCACAUCAUCAUAACCAUACAUUUCUUAAUGCAAUGACUAAAAAACUAAUAGUACCAAUCUUUUGGUGCUAUUAAUAGUAUUUUAGCCUAGUUCGAAAUUGUUUGUGAAUUCGAUGAGUGAUAUUUAUCUUUCAACUGUAUAUAAAUAUUUGAUUAUUAUUAGUUUUUAAUUUGACAUACUUAUAAAAUAAUUUUUAUUUAAUUUUUUAUUUACUUAUAAAUUUUAUAGGGAAAACUUCAAAAACCCCCCUUGUGGUUUCAAUUUUUUUUCACUUUAAUACCCUGUGGUUUAAAAUGUAUCAAGUUAGUACCCCGUGGUUUCUCACUUUAUCACUUAAGUACCCUGUGGUUUAAAGUGUAUCAAGUUAGUACCCUGUGGUUUUGCACUUUAUCACUUUAGUACCCUGUGGUUUUAAUUUUGUAUCAAGUUAGUACCCUAUAGUUUUUUAAAUCACAAGGUACUAAAGUGAUAAAGUGUGAAACCACAGGGUACUAAAGUGAUAAAGUGCAAAAUCACAGGGUACUAGCUUGAUACAUUUUAAACCACAGGGUAUUAAAGUGAUAAAGUGAGAAACCACAGGGUACUAACUUGAUACACUUCAAACCACAGGGUACUAAAAUGAAAAAGUGUGAAACCACAUGGGGUUUUUUGAAGUUUUCCCAAUUUUAUAAAUAGCCUACAAUUUAGGAAGUAGAAUAGGGGUCGGGACUUGACGACCAAGAAAUUUCCACGAGGUGGCGGUGAAGCCACAGAGCUGUAGUCGUUUAAACCGACUGCUGCGCCACGUGUCGCCGUCUCGUUUACUCGCCCAGAUCUAAAAAACCAGUCCACGUUUUUCCUAAUACUGCCCCUGGUUUCAGUUUCACCCUCCCCCAAACAAAAACAUAAUUAAUAAAACAAAAUAAAAUAUAUAAAAUAAAUAAAUAAAUAAACAUCGGCUUAUAGUAUCCCCUUUCCUCGUAUAAAUAGUCCCCUACUCUUCUUCCUCAAAAGAAUACACGUCAACGAAGACACGAAAAUUAUAUAAAAAAAAAAAAACACAAAACCCCCCUCUCUCUCUCUCUCUCUCUCUCUCGCUCGCUCGCUUUGUAGUGAAACCCUAGAGAUACUGAGAUCGCCAUGGAGACGAGCUUAGGAUCGGUGGACGCGGGGGCGGAGGCGGCGGCGAAUGGGGCGGUGGGGAGUCCUCCGGCGAUCCCCUGCCACCCGAUCUCGCCGUGCCCGGCGGUGCCGGCGGGGGUGACGGAGGCGACGCUGGGAAGGCACCUCGCGCGGCGCCUCGUACAGGUGGGGGCCCACGACGUCUUCUCCGUCCCCGGCGACUUCAACCUCACCCUCCUCGACCACCUCAUCGCCGAGCCCGGGCUCCGCCUCAUCGGCUGCUGCAACGAGCUCAACGCGGGCUACGCCGCCGACGGGUACGCGCGCGCGCGCGGCGUCGGCGCCUGCGUCGUCACCUUCACCGUCGGGGGCCUCAGCGUGCUCAACGCCAUCGCCGGGGCCUACAGCGAGAACCUCCCCGUGAUCUGCAUCGUCGGGGGCCCCAACUCCAACGACUACGGCACCAACCGCAUCCUCCACCACACGAUCGGGCUCCCCGAUUUCUCCCAGGAGCUCCGAUGCUUCCAAACGGUGACGUGUUAUCAGGUGUGUAUCUCGAUCUCCAUCUCGAUCUCGAUCUCGAUCUCCACCCCUGUUUUCUCUCUUUUUUCUCUGAUUUGUGGAUCGUGAUUUGGAUCGGAAUAGGCGGUGGUGAAUAAUCUGGAAGACGCGCACGAGCAAAUCGAUACGGCGAUCUCCACGGCUCUGAAGGAGAGCAAGCCCGUGUACAUCAGCGUCAGCUGUAAUCUCCCGGGAAUCCCUCACCCCACCUUUAGUCGCGAGCCCGUUCCCUUCUGCCUCAACCCCAAGUAUGUGCAGUUACCACGAAUUUUUAUUAUUUUUUUAUUAAUUUCUUUUAUAUGCUUUAAGAACGGGAAAUAGUAGGUUAGAUGAUUUUGAUCUCUUCUUGGAGUUUUCCCUGUUUCAUGGUUUGUGAGAAUGAUGGUAUGUUUGCUCGGAUGGAAAAAAGAAAGAAGCAAAGUUGGAGGAGAAAUCACUUAUUACUCUGGUUUGGUAUGAGAUUAAGGGAGAUGAAAAUUGGAGAAACGAAGAGGAAAAGGAGAGAACAGAGAGAGAGAGAGAGAGCGAAAAUCAUUGACUAAAGACCAAGUAGUUUUUCUGUUUCAGGACAAUCUAGAAUAGAAUAGUUCUUUUUUACGGCAAUCAAAAUGAUUAGAGGAAACUGGAGAAAAGCAGAGGAGGAGAAAUUAAUCUCACUUCUUCUUAAAAAAAACCCGAGAGAAAUGAAAAAACCGAUUUUCAAUUGCUCAUAUCAUUUUGAAACACUAUUUUCUCUCACUUUUUGUUUCUAUGUUGUUUCCUUGUUUUUUUUCCUUCCAUGGCUAUGCAAGCAAAUCAUGACUUAUUCUGAUGGAACUAACGUUCAGAUUGAGCAACCAGAUGGGGCUAGAGGCUGCCGUGGAGGCCGCGGCGGAGUUCCUGAACAAGGCCGUGAAGCCGGUCCUGGUCGGUGGGCCGAAGCUCCGCGUGGCCAAGGCCAGCAAGGCCUUCGUGGAGCUCGCCGAUGUCUGCGGCUACGCUGUCGCUGUCAUGCCGUCGGCAAAGGGCCUCGUCCCAGAGCACCACCCUCACUUCAUUGGCACCUACUGGGGAGCCGUGAGCACCGCCUUCUGCGCUGAAAUCGUUGAGUCAGCCGAUGCCUACAUCUUCGCAGGCCCCAUCUUCAACGACUACAGCUCUGUUGGCUACUCCCUCCUCCUCAAGAAGGAAAAGGCCAUCAUAGUCCAGCCGGAACGUGUCGUGGUCGGGAAUGGGCCCGCGUUCGGGUGCAUCCUGAUGAAGGAUUUUCUACAAGCGCUUGCGAAGCGGCUGAAGAAGAACACGACGGCAUUUGAGAACUACCGCAGGAUCUUCGUGCCGGAGGGGCAGCCGCUCGAGUGCAAGCCUAAAGAGCCGCUGAGGGUGAACGUUCUGUUCAAGCAUAUACAGAAGAUGUUGUCGAGUAACACGGCGGUGAUUGCUGAGACCGGGGACUCGUGGUUUAAUUGUCAGAAGCUGAGGUUGCCGGAGGGUUGCGGGUAAGCGCCCUGAAUUCUAGAAUAUGUUCAGAUUAGUUAUAUUUAAUCUUUCUAUUUUAGGACAAUCUAGAAUAGAGUUUGAUCUUUGUGGUAGAUAUAGUUUUAGACAAUAGCUAGGGAUGCAACAAGGGAUAACGUAGAUUCGGAAAUUGUCUGGAAUAAACGUUUUUAAGUAAUUCUAGAGUAACCUGGUGUUUGACUGGGAAGAGCUUGGUGUCUAAUCGGAACAACUAUAUGUAUUUUUUUUUAUUUUGCUAAUUUUGCUAGAAUAAGGUUAUGAGUUGAAUUUUUCCCGAUUAUUGCUGAUCAAAGUGUGUAUUUUGAUUAUGAUAUUUACAGAAGAGUUGGCUUGUUUGUGCAGAUACGAGUUCCAAAUGCAGUAUGGAUCGAUUGGUUGGUCGGUGGGGGCGACCCUGGGGUACGCCCAGGGCGCUAGUGGGAAACGUGUGAUUGCGUGCAUUGGUGAUGGGAGCUUCCAGGUGCCACCAUUCAUUCCAUCGAUUUCUGGUUCAGUUCCUACAUAGUGCCAAAGGUAUAGAAUUUUUAUGGCUAAUCCGAUGUUUAUGUAUAAAAUUCAGGUGACAGCGCAGGAUGUAUCGACAAUGCUGCGGAGUGGGCAAAACACAAUAAUCUUCCUCAUUAACAAUGGUGGGUACACCAUCGAGGUAGAGAUCCAUGAUGGUCCCUACAAUGUCAUCAAGAACUGGAACUACACUGCCCUGGUGGACGCCAUCCACAACGGCGAGGGCAAAUGCUGGACUGCGAAGGUGAGUUUAGCAUGAUACUGUUAAAAAAACUUUUUGAUCAUGCUCUGCUCUUACAACUUGUUUCCCCUGUUCGGAGCUUCUGCGGAAAUGUCGUUGAGUACAGUAUCGAACAGCUUUUUCCGAGGAUAGUUUAAUUCAGUAAGAACAAAUGUGAUCUUUAUGCUGUGCUAUUGCAGGUUUUGUAUGAGGAGGAUCUUAAGGAAGCUAUCAAGACCGCGAUGGGGCCGAAGCAGGACUGCUUGUGCUUCAUCGAGGUGAUCGUGCACAAGGACGAUACCAGCAAAGAGCUGCUCGAGUGGGGCUCCAGGGUCUCCGCUGCUAACAGUAGGCCGCCGAACCCACAGUAACUAAUAAACUCAGUGUUAGAUGUCGAAUAAUGUGAAUCCUAUGUUGCUAUCUACAAUGUUCCUCAAAGUGCUGUGUUCCGUUUUUUGCUGCUAGUGUCUGUGUAUGUAUGCACUUCAUUUGCUAGUGUUUUUGUUGUAACGAGACUUUGCUAUUUGCCUUGCUCGUUCUAUUUAGAGCUCAAGUUAUGAAUAUAUCAUGAUCUUCUUCCUGAGAUGCUCUUAAAUGGUGGAGAGAUUACAUUACAGUAUACCUAAUAUUCUGGAGAUAAUUUGCAAUCAGGUCCUUUGAGCUCGAGAUUUCUUGGACUAAUAACUUCUGAUCUAUCAUUUUGUUUGGGCAAAAAGGUUUGUCAUACUUGAUGGACCACUUAUUCAAAUUAGUUAAAUAUUGCCCGGAAUCUCCUCCCAAGUUCUUUGUAUCUGAUGUGGUGUUGUUUGUCGCUUUCCCCACGCGAUUUGAAUGGGUUGUUUGUUUUUUCUUUUUUGUUCAUUAACGCUAUUUCUCGCUGUUAAUGCAUGUGCACUACUGUAGUUGGUAUUCUAGUAAGUGGUAUAUAAUUUAGCUAAAAUUGUAUUGAAUCCAACUAACCAGCCGAAGUAGUACUAGAAAACAAAUUAUUUAAUCCGUCUCCUUUUCUUUUCUUGGUUUCCAACUGGGAAAGCUAUUGCUGGGGAUAUUUAACAUUUUCUAUGAGUAGUCUCUGUCUUUUAGUAGCCCCUUUAAGAAUCUAGUGAUUCCAAAAUUCGUUGUGCCCAGCACAUGAUUCUUCUCCCAACUUUCUCUGGAUCUCAUCCAACACGAAAUAAAAAAAUCGUUCUGAAAUGUCAUUCGUUUAAAAAAGAAAGUGACAAAAAAAAAAAAAGAAAGCAAACUUCUGAAAUGUUCUCGACGGUUGGAUACAUCGAGUGCGUGGCAGCCUAUAAACCAAAGGACAUGUUACCGUGGUCUAAACCCACUUAAAUUUUGUGAUUUGAUGGUAGAUUUGAAAUCUUACUCAUCAAAUUUUGUGAUUUAAAAGGUAGAUUUGAAACCUUAUAGAUUACACUUUAUUUUUUGCUGCCAUGCAGAUCGAACUUUCUCUAGGAACUAAACAUUUUUUUUAAUAUUUUGAGAAUAAGACUACUUUAAAUUUUUCAAUGAUGAAAAGCAGCUUUUGUCGAAAAAAAAAAAACAGAAAAAUAACAGAAGAGCCAUGCUCUAGCAAAGUUUAUAAUGCACCAACAGUAACCCAGCAGCAAGAAUUAACCAAAACAUAGAUGAUUGCAAGAAAUUUAGCUUACAACAUCCACAAACAGAGGAAAAAGAAAACAAGUCUUUACAUAUGGAAUUUCUGCUGCGACAAGCAUGGAAUACGAAAUCGUCUUCCAAAAGAUGGUUUUUCUGUCAUUUAGAUUCGGCAGUUGUUACUGAAGAAGCAGAGAGAAGACGGCAGUUUUGAAGAAGAUUAGAGGGAAAGGAAGCUUUGCAGUUAGCAAUGUGGGAUUUAAGCUUUGGUAUAUUAGGAUGCGCGCUCCUACAUCGGUGGCAUCGCAGCUCCAUUGCCAACAACUUCUCAUCACCGCUUACCUUCGCUGCCCCGUACUGCUCAAUCUCCUGGAUUACAUCAACCGAGUCACGAAAGAACAUGGUAGUGAACGAAUUCCAGUGUUUUUUGUUCUUUAAGUGAGUCGAAUCAAAAUCCUGGCUUAUAACAUGAAGAUGCAGUUGCCGCAUGGAUGGAACCUGUAGGAUAGAGAUAUAAAACCAAGCAAGCAAAAUUAUAAGCAAAAUACAGUGAGCAACGUACGUGUUCAUAAACGCAUUUUGCACAUACCGAGUGAUACCCAAGUCUAAACGAUAGAGAAGAGUCCUCGCUUAAGAAUUUCUGAACCCACUUCACUCCAGCAGAAUGCAUGCUCCUCAACAAGGGAAGGUGUUCUUUCUUUGCAUCUUCAAGCGAAUCAAGACCAUCCAACCUCGAUAACACAAGAACGUGCUUUUUAGCCUGCAUGUACAAGAUCUUCUCUAAAAUUUAACACACACGAACAAAAAAGUACAGCAAGGAAUGCAUUUAAUUAGUAUGCCAAACCUUGGGAUAAAGAUCAUUCAGAAUGACAAAUUCAUUUGACAUCUCCAAAACUACACCCUUGUGUUUCUCAGGGUGAAUUGCAAUCUCAUGAAGAGCUAGGGCCCAAGAACUCCAUGUCCUUUUCCUACUCUCGGCACUGUUCUUCUCCUUCUCAGAGCUUUUAAUGAACUUCGAUGUGUCGGAUCUAAUUUCAGCUAGUAAUUGUUCAUGCUCGUUAUUAUGUUCAUCAUCGGAAGUAAAAAAUCCUUUGUACUUUUUGCUUGUCUCGGAAUCAUUAAAACUCUCCCGCUUGGCUUUCAAAUCCUUCACAUUUUCCCUCUUAGCAUGGCUAUGUGCAAUAGAUGCAAAGUUUUCAAAGAGGGACAUGUAUGCAUCACGGAGAAUCUUGCUGCCCUUUACGUAGUCAUUUUUGAGACAGUUUGGUCUUUGUGGGUUCAUGUUCGGUCCAAGAACAUGUAUUACAUGAGUUACGCCUUCCCUUUGAUAAAGGGGAGAACUUGGAGGGAGAGGAACGGCAAUAGAGCUUCCGGGGCUUAAAGAUUCAGCUCGUUCUUUAGUUGCUACUUCGAGCGCUUCUCCUGCUGCACUGAAUAUUGCUGCAUUAACCCCUCCACCUCCAGGUUUUAACCGCCUGCAUAUAAACACCACCUCUGAUGUUGGCACCAUUUCCUGGUUUUCUGAACAAUAUGAUUAUUAUGACAUUUCUUAAUUUCUCAAAUUGGGAAGCAAAAGGUUAUACACAAAAUAUUACAAAAAGGAGGUGCAAAAUUGAUGGUGUAUUCAACACUUUUAUAUAGAUCUGAUGACAGCCGGUGGUUGAAAACAUGCUUUUUGAGUUAUUGUCUGGACUAUGAUUGAUGCGAUAUUGGGCCAGAAAAUACAUGUGAAGUCCCAACUAAAUCGGGUUAAAAAGUCAUCAAAUGGGUUAAUAAUUACCUUACUCUGGGUCAAGUAAGUGUCCUUUAGUUCAAACUAAAGUUGAUUAUAGUUAGGCAUGUUAACGAGGCUUUAAAUGAGUUCUUUAUAGUCCACAAUUUAUUUCCUUUUCUGAAGGAGAUUUUGCUUUGCAUCCAAAAUUCCAUAAUAAAUGCUUUUGGACACAGAAUUCUCUUCAGAAUUCAGAAGCAGAGCAUAAAGUAAACUUGGUUCAGAUCUUACAAGAAAUUCAACUCGAUUUAGAUCCUUAUAUAUAGCUCAUGGCUCCUAAGGUAAGAGGACGUUAACGUAUAACUUGAAUAUUAAUCAAAGGGAAAAAUCUUUACGAAAUCUUACCAGUUAGCAGCGUUGGCAAUAACAUUACAGCGUAGUCCACCCUUAGAAUACAGCUGGGUUAUAUCUCCAACAAAUGUAAAGAACUUGCUGGAAUCAAUGCUCUUCUUAGCAGCCUUAUCCCAAACCAAAGCCAAAAUAUUUGAUUUGUGACUCAAGUCUACAAGAACGAGCCUGACAUUCUUAGCCUUCUGUAAGAACUCGGCGAUUGUCUCUACUAUGAUAUCCGAUGCCUUUCCAUGGUCAAACUGAAAAUCCGAUGUUGAAAUAGACGGAAAUGCCAAUGUAGGAACAUCGCUAAGAGAAGUACUAUGCGACGUACUUUGAUCGACUUUUUCCUUUUUAUCUUCAUUUUUAUUUUCAAUUUCCAUGGCGCAGGAAUCACUUUUGCGUGUUUCUCGUGAAAAGGAACUCUGCGACUGAUCUUUAUCAACCUUCUUUAGAAAUUUCAUUAUUCCGAGCUGGACUUUGGCUUCCUUACUCUUCUGACCAAAAACUCCAGACGGAAGUUUGUCAGAAGGCCCCAGUCCACAGUACAUACCGACAGCAUCAUUAACGUCUUUAUCAUUCUGACAAAAUGUGAUCCGAGAGAAACCCUCGCUCAGUUUCGGGGGCUCCUUUUUCUGCAGCAUGCGGUUGACGACGGCAGCAGCUUUUCCACCUUGGAGAUUCCCUUCGUGACCAGUUCGAUUCACCGACCGGGAUAUACAAACUUUAGCGGGAAGAUCAAGAACUACCGCAUGGACAUCGGCUCGUGAUCCACCGAGCUUCACGAAAUCGGCACGCUGCUCCUGCUCUAAGUUGCAUCGGUCAAGGAGAACGCUUUUACCCUCCCUUAGCGCGUCAGCUGCGGCCUUUAAGCAUUGUACUUUCGUUCCGGCCUUGCCGUUCACAAUUGUGUCCUGUAUGCAUGAUUAUAGCCAUGCAGCAUCGAUUCGAUGAAUUUCAAACAAUAUCGCCGCAACGAUGUAGUUAAAAUAAACAAAAAAUAAAGUGAUAGUGCCAAUUUUCAACAAAAUAAUCUGAACAAAUACGAAUUACACUUGAAGCAGAGAACUACAUCACAAAUUUCACCAGCAUUGACCAGUAUAAUUCUUUAUACGUCCCAGUUGUAAAUGAAUUCACAAUUUUGACCAAUGAAUCUAAUUAAGCUUCACCACUAACACAAUCUAUCAAAAAAUUAACUUAAAACUCAAAAAAGUAUAUGACGUUUUCUAAUCAAGUAUUUACUCAUUUUGAAUUAAAAUCUAUGAAUAAAAUCAACAAUUCUAGUAGAUAUUAGGACAUCGGUAUUUAAACGAAAAAACAAAAUUCGAAUAGGAGGAAAUACUUGAUUAGAAAACGUCAUAUACUUUUUUGAGUUUUAAAAAACCCUAACCUGGCAAACGCGGACCCAAGCGCGACGCGCGGCGCUCAUAACCGCGUUACAAAACGUGGUUUUGCCGCUCCCCGGGGCGCCCACAAGGAUCACCACCACCGCCACCACGCCGCGCCCCUCAUCGCCAUUAGCGUUGCGGUGCUCCUCCCCUGCGUCGAUGGAAUCGCCCAUUUUGAGAACGAGGGUUUAGAAACACGGAGAAAAUCAAAAGCUUAAUCGGAAUAACAAUAGAAAUCAAAGAAAAAGAAAAACAAAAAUGAAAAACAAAAAAAAUGCCUUCGAUUAGAGCGUCGUCGUUGUUCAUCGCUUCGAUUCGAUCGAAGGGAGAAGCGGAGACGAAGCUACUAGCGUACGCAGAGUCUCAUCAUGUAUUCGAAGGGGAAAGCUCAUCCUAGCCGUUCAUUCUUUCGAUUGUGUACCGCAAUCGAGCUGAUCUGGACCGUUAUUUUAAGGACAAUGGAGAGAGAGGAAAAAAAGAAAAUAAAAAUCUCGAUCUGUGGCUGCUGGGAUUCGAGCCCAGGUCUCUACGGCCACAACGUAGAAUUCUAACCACUAAACUACAGCCACUUUAUUUAAAUAAGUUUCGAAAUUAAAUUAUUUAUUUCUUAAACUUUGAUUCUUAAGAUCAAAUUCACAUUACGGCUCAAGCAUACCAUUCCAAUGGAGUUGACCAGGAAUUCGUUGCCAUAGAACGCGUCCAAAUUUCUAGUUGCAAAUGCCUACAAUUAUAUUAAUCUUUUUCUUUCAAACAAUAAUAACAACGAAACAUUGAAUCUCGUUAUGAAGCUUUUAAAAGUACCAAGUAUUCGGCGUUUGAAAAUUUUUCACUAUUAGAUCCAUCUCUUUAAUUAAUUAUUCUUUAGAUUAUGUUAUUCUACCAACGAUUCACUCAGUCUCAGAAGACCACUAUUAUCUUGACCUUAUAAAUUUUUAUUCAAAGGCUAAAAGCCUAAAAGCACAAUUAACUUGUGCUUUUAAAAGUAUAGGAGCUCAAUUCCCAAAACAUCUAUCUUAUAUUAUAAUAUUAAUAUAUUAAUCUAAUUUUCAACGGUUAUAAUAAUAAACUCUCCUUUGGCGUGCGUAGAACCAAUUCCAAAGUCGUACAAGUUAAACUACCAAACCAUUCAACCAUCACCACCCCCCCCCUCUCUCUCUCUCUCUCUCUCUCUCUCUCUCUCUCUCUCUCUCUCAAAAACCUCGCCCUACAAUUUACUUACAUCUUGUAAUAUCUUAUUAUGGCUACAUCCAAUGCAAAAGUCGGCUCUACUUCAGAUGAACUGCCGACUUCACAAAGGAUCGACGAUCUCGAACGAAUCUUCGCGUGGUUCGACGUAGACGGCGACGGAAAACUCUCCGCCGCCGAGCUCCGACUAAUGAUGAAUGCCGUCGAAGCGGAGCUCAGCAUCGAGGACGCGGAGGCUGUCGUCAGGUCGGCGGAUUCGGACGGGGACGGGCUUUUGGAUUUGAAUGAGUUCGUGAAGCUCGCGGAGUUGGAAGGAGCAGAGGAGGGCAAGGAGCUGAGGGAAGCAUUUGGCAUGUAUGAGAUGGAGGGGAAGGGCUACAUCACCGCCGCGAGCCUCAAACAGAUGCUGAGCCGGCUCGGCGCGUCGGCGGAGUUGAAGGAGUGCAUGAGCAUGAUCAAAAAGUUUGAUCUUAAUGGUGAUGGUGUCCUGAGCUUUGAUGAGUUCAGGACCAUGAUGAAGCUUUGAGCAAUCUAUCACUUCUUCAUGUAAUUCCUUUUCGAUUCGCAGUUUUUGUUCACAAAGAUGAGAACCAUAAGAAGAUCCAAUUUGUUCAUAAUACAAAGAAAAUUUCAAGAUUUCACAGGCAAUAAUAUCGCGACUUUUUGAGCUAAACAAAGAAGAGAAGAGCAUAAUAUCCAACCAAAGUUCUAAUUACCAGUUCUCAAAUAAACAUAGAUUGUGUACAGAGAAUUCUAGCAGGAGCAAAUAUUACCAAGGAAGUUGCUUCCUCUUCACUCUGUGUUCUCCUGACAAUCUACAACCUCGAGGCGCAAACAGAAGAGUUCCAACCAUUUAAUACUCAUUGAAAUGUAUCGCGCCGACCUUCCAAACAAGGUAGGUCGUCGCGAACAUGACCGUGCUGAUGAAUACGAAAGAGAACGCAAUGACGAGUACAUCGGUCCCCACGGGGAGAAAAUCGAAGCUCAAUCCCUGCUUCGGUAAGCCCCGUUUGCUAUCAUCAAAUAGGUUCGUGGGGGCCUCGGGGAGGCCGGACCGCUUCUUUCCUUUAUCGCUUUCCCUAAUCGCAUCCAGAACUUUACUUCCGAAUUCGGGCUUGGACGACUCCGACUCUGUGUACUUACUUAGGACUCGCGCCGCCCUUAGCCUCUCCCUUGCUGUCAAAGGAGGCUUCUUCAGCGCAACCUCUUUCGGCUGAGGAAGGUUGCCGUUCACACCGAGCUGAGUGUCAUAUGAUUGAAAUUGGCUACCGUUGUCGUCGGCUUUUUCAACAUUUGAAGAGUCUGAAGUUGAUUCUGUGGCGGCUUUAUUACUAUCGGUUGCCAAGGGAGUUUUUGCAUAUUUUCUCGCGGGAAAAAACAGCAGUGACCGGGGUUCUCGGAAGCUAUUCUUAUGUACGCGGUGACUCGACCGAUGCAGGAGUUGAUUGCUUCCUGGUGAAGAUCCUGAGAUAGCUCUUAAUUUUAUCUGCAACAGCGAGCUUUGAGUUGGUGAAUUACAUAUAAGAAUCAGUAUCAGUUAUUUGGGCAUCACAAGCAACAACAAUAAUAAACUGUACAAACAAAAAGAAGGCCAAAGAACUUUUGAAGGAGAAAUUUUAGUUGAAAUAUUCAAAAAAAAGAAAAAGAAAAAAGAAAAACAAAACUCUUAGCCUAGAUGUUACUUUUGUCGUUGAGUUUUCCGAAAUCAAGCUUUCUCAAAUUGAAAUCUAAUCAACUAAAUAGCAUGUUUUCCAGACGAAUUCAUGCACAAUGUAAGAAAUCAACCAUGAUGUUCGUUCUUCAUCAGAAUGCCACAGCUACAUAAAGGCCCUCCAAGGACUAUAAACAUAAAUUUGAGAAUAAUGCAAGUCACAUAUCAUUAAAUAUAUAUACUAUUAAAUUAUAUAAAACAACCGUUGUUCUUAUAAAAAAAAAAAACUUAGCUACCAAAGAAUAAUAAAAGUCGGUAUAUCUUUGACAACAAGAAAAAUUCGUAUGUACAAAGAUUGUUAAGUAUGGUAACACUCACAUAGCUCUCUUCACGCGUUGUUUAUAUAUUACUCAAAAAUCAUCCUAACUAUUAAAAGUACUGUAAGAUUUGAACUCAGAACCUUCUGCUCUACUGCAGUUUGAAAUAACUGUUUGAGUCUAAAUGCAUAAACUAUAAUAAUUUGAUAUGUUUAAACGAAUUAGGAGCUCAAUUCAAUUAUAUAUAUAUAUUAUAUAUAUAUAUAUAUAUAUUAAUAUAUUUAUAUAUAUAUUAUAUUAAUUCAGCAAAACAAUCAUCAUAAUUCGAAUUCAACCAGCGAAUCCCGUGCUAUCAAUUUUAGAUCGAAUGAUAGACCUUCACACAACUAAAACUUAUCCAAAAAUUGUAGCGCGUGUGUUGUGAAGAGCAACAUUGGUCAUUCAUUUUGUCCCUCAUAACUCCACCAAUGAUACCAAUCCUCAAGCCACCAAAAAAAAAAAGAAAAAAGAAAGAAAAAAAAAAGAAAAAGCAUAAGUUGCCACUUCUUGUGCAAUUUGCGCACUCUCAAAUAGGGGAAAACGAAACCCCAAUUUCAAAAGUAGUCGUCGCUAGCGUACUUGAGAUUUAAAGGGCUUAUUUAAGUAAAAACUAGUAAAUUAUAGGGAGAGAGGGGAACUCACGUGUACGCCGAUGUCGCAGAGGGAGUUCAUUUUCGUAACAACGCUGCGGAGAAUGAAAGGGCAAAAAAAAAAAAGAGAGCUUAUUUGGCCAUGGGGAUAGGCUUUAUGAGGCCAUGGACAAAGCAAAGAAACGAAGCAAAAGGAACUUUAAAUUACGACUAUACCCCCUAAUUUUAAAAAAAAUAAGGAUUUAGCUUUUCUUUAGAAAUAAAUUUUAACUGAAAAUAAUAAAAUAAAUUUUAAAUUUGAAUCUCGAAUAUAAACUUAUGCUAGGACGGUCAGAACCCCUCAACAAUUUAUUUGGUGAAAAUGAUUUUUUUUUAGAUAAUUUUAGUUCUUUUAUUGAUUUCUUUUCGGCUUUUUUCUAUAAUUUGAAUGAGUCGUUAACUAGCAGUAAACAAAUUUAAAUAAAUAAAGUUUGAGAUAGUUUUAGUUCUUUCGUUAACAGUGAAUAAAAUUUAUAGUUUCAUCAGCCAUGACAAAAAAGUCUAAAAAUAUAUAUUUGGUUGAAUCAGAUUAAAAUUUUUUAAAUUUUUAAUGAAACUAACUUAAAUCAAUAAUACAAAAAGUUCAAAAGAUAUAUAAAUAUAGUUCUAUAUAUAUAUAUAUAUAUAUAUAUAUAUAUAUAUAUAUAAAGGUUGUCUACUUUUAAGGGUAUUUCGAUGAAAUUUUACAAUUGGUUUAUCGAUAAUUAACGAUUUCUAGCUUUAUACCUGUCUUAAAAAAAAAAAAAAAAAAAAAGAAAAACUGUCAAUUCUGGGUCUCUGGCCUGUAAAAUACCCCCCACCCACCCAAAAAAACAAGGUUCGACUCAUUUCUCAAAAUACAAAAAAUAUAUCACAAAAAGAUGUAAAUAAUCGAGAAAUAGAUUACUAAAAUAUAUAAAUAAACCAUUAAUGUCCUCUUUACAAAUGAAAAACAAUAGACAUCUACGGAUUCACCAAAAUUGCAAUGAUUGUGAACUAAUAAAAGUUGGAAUCUAUCUGUUACAUAUAGAGGCUAGCUAUUACCAAAAGGACAAUAAAAGCGAAACAAAUAUAAAACUCUAAAAAUUUCAAUGCCAACUUAAAUCAGGAAAAUAUAUUUCACAAGAACCCUUUUCAUGCUUAAUUUAGGUUCUCACAUUUGCUAUACAGAGAUAGUGGACCAGCACUACCCAUACUUUCUUCGUCCGCAAAGUGGCUAGCAGCAUGUCACCAGAAAAAGCCACUACGAAUCAAACCGCAGAGCUCGAAACUAUCCGAACAAUCCAUUCCUGUAUAAGUAAGUGUAUUCUCUGCAUCAUUUAAGAACAGGUUUUCGUCUGAUUUUCGAGAGCUGGAUAUCUCCAUUCAAAACUGAACCCACAAACUCCUCCGCUUUUUCCAUUGUAAUUUCACCAGUGAAAGCCGCAAAAUUCCCUCUGUGUGGCUUGUACGCUACCAGAAGCUUAUCAUAGGACUUGUAGCCAGACUUGUCGAAAGAGUAUAGAAAUGACGAAUGUUUGGCUGCAUCCAACAACGAGUAGGAGAUUGACUUCCCAGAGCUGAUAACCCGAUCCUGCCGCCUCACUAAAGUCUUCUGAGAGAUCUGAACAUAAAAUAUCAAGAAUAUAACACUUCAGCACUUGUAUAGAAGCUCACUAUCCACGACUGCUGAGUUGUUAAGAAGAACAAGAGAAUGACAAUUUAAAUAUCAUAAUAAAUGAGAAUGGGAUUAAAGAAACAAGAAGUUUAAUCCCAGUUUUAACUAUGUCCUUACAAAUUCUUUUGACAGCAAACAGUGUAAGCUUAUGUCCUUACGAUUUCGAUUUAGCAAUUUAGAAUCUGAAAUUUGUACUGUGUAACAGGGCCUUCCAUUAGUCUACAGCCAAAAAAAUGUCAUGCACUGAACUCCACGAACGAUGCUAACAAGGCAUUUUAAUUUCUAUUAUAAUAGACUAAGAGAAGAGUUCACUUAUUACACCCAAAAAAAAUUGGGGAAUUAAAUAGUUUGAAGUAGACUUUGAGGAGAAAUUGAAAUCGGGAUUAGACUUCAAUGAAUAAGUUUCUGAUUAGUCCAAGAAAACUAAAACAUACUAACCGCUGUCAAAAUCUUUUCCAACUUUUCUUUCGCUUUAGAUGAUCUGUAUGCGCCAAUGAUGCAAAGAGAAGUCUUAUCACCGCAAAUGUCAUCAAAAUUCGAAGGGGUGAGGAGAGGAACAUUAGCCCCUUCAGGUUCAGUCUCAGAUGAUUUCUUGGCUUGGUUUGUUGCUUUCUUGCUUUUCUUCUCAAAACUUUCAAGCAAUGAUUUAAGGUCCUUGACACCUGAUUUAAGAUCCUUUGCAGCAAUUCCCGCUCCCAGAAGAUGUUGCUCCCCAUUCACAGUUCUUCCCAUUAUAGCUGGUAGAUCCCUGACACCCAACUUUUUCAGCCAAGGAUGGGAAACAUCAUGAACCUACACAAACACAUACAAUCUUUAACGUGCUAAGAGAUUGCAAAGUUUCUAGUACUGACUACAGGAAGAAAAUGUACGAGUUCAUCUGAUUAUUUAUUGAGAUUGCCCAUAAGAAACUUGAGUGAAUUCCAAUAAAAAAAUUAAUCUAAGUAUAUAAUCUACAAUUGACAAUUAUGAUGCUUAGUCAAACUUUAUCGAGGAGAGGUUUUCUGCCAAAUAUUGUCAUGAAAAAAAUGGGAAUGUGUGAAUGUAUUAUGUUUGAAACAAAGUUUACUAGUAUAAUAACAGUUGAAAUAUUCACAAUUUACUUUUCCUACCCCGAAAAGGUAUAAGCGUCAGAAGGACUAUUUCAGCACUAAGAAAUUGACUAUAAUUUAUAGUGAAAGGAAAUGAAGCUACCUCUGCGUGGUAGAAAAUGAAGCGUUUAUGAUACAAGCCACUGACAACACGCCAUAUUGCCGGGGCGUCUUUCCUAGUGGAGAGCAGAAGCACUUGGGGAAGCUUUUCUGAGGUGCUUGAGGGAAAAUCAUUUUUCCCUAUUUCUACCUUCUUGGAAAACCUUGGUAGGUGAUCUUGGCAGAAUAACUUCAGGCUCUUAGUGUCAAGAUCCCCAGUAUAUUCAAGUAAAGAACCUUUAUCACUUGAUAUAUAUGAAUAGAUGAACAGGCGAGCUCGUUUGCUUGAAGAUGUACCAACUUCCUGACAAAGAGUUUUCUCGCUAACGCAGUUUAUUUUACCCGCCUGCAUUGAGAUUGAAAAUUUAAAUGCUACUCAGUAAUCACACUCUUUAAUGAAUAUUUAAAUUUAAAUCACAGUAUGUCGCUACAAUGCAGGGUGAAUCACAACCAGGCAUUCCAAAGUUAUUUCAAAAUUUUCAAUCUGUCCCACCACAUUUCAAUUUUUGCAAUUGGAUCCUCAACCUUUGCAUUCCCUGGCAGAUUUGCCCUUUUCACUAGCUCAGCAGUUAAGUUGAACAGGUAUCUAAUUGCCACAUGCAAAGGCUAGAGCCUUGUUGUACCAAUCGAAAGGUUUGGGAACAAACUAAAACUAGGGUAAAAGGUUAGAAGACCCCUGGUGCAAUUUAUCCUCGUUAUACUAUAAGAUACUUAAAAGAAGCAAAGUUAGAUACACAGACAAAUACACAAAAACUCAUACCUUUAUGACUCCAUCUAACAUAUCGGCAACAUCCUGCACGACACUUUCUAAUACAUCGUAUCCUUUUGCUGAUGGAGUGUAGAACAACAAAAGCCAAGUCAUCCCUUGAUCUCUUAUUUGUUUGUUGAAGAAUUGCAAGUUAACAUCCUCAAUUUUCCUAGGACUAGCAGAUUUUGACUUAGAUCCGCCAAAAUUACUGAAUCCACUCUGGCUCUCACUCUUCAUCCCACCACCAAAGAAUCUGGAAAAUAAAUCACCAAAACCAAAGCCAAAUGGAUUUCCGCUGGCAGUUGGGUCACCACUAAAGGAGAAAGAGAAUGUUUUGGUAUUGCCUUGGCCACCCGUUGACUGCCACCCAUUUCCAGGCCCACCAGAUGUAAAGUGGGUAUAUCCUUCAUGGUUCCCAAAGUUUCCACCAUUAAAUCCAGCAUCAUAUACUGGGGUGCCCUUCUCAUCUCCGUAAAGAUCAUAAUUCUUCCUCUUCUCUUCAUCGGACAGAAUCUCAUAAGCUGAGAAUAAGUAGAAGUUUUCAGACUCGAUGUGUUCACUAAAGGAAGUGAUUCAGCUUACAAAUUGCAAAUUGUGCAAAUAUUUCAUUGAGAUAUGCAAUAUUAAAGCUAAUGGUAGUCAGUAACAUAAUUAGAGAAGUUUAAAUGCACAGAUCAUUGAAAAAUAGAUGAUACAGCAUGUGAAUACAAAUGCAAGCAGAGAUGGAAAUUUCCUUACACGGGGUCAUUAAAAUAUUAAAUAACAGAGAGAAUCUCAGCAUAAACAGUCAUCAUAUGGGGACAAAUAUCAUAAAGCACAAAAAUUGAGUGAGUAAUUACCAUUAUUUAUCUCUGCAAACUUCUCCUGUGCUCCCUUGGCUUUAUUCUUGUCAGGGUGAUAUUGAAGAGAGAGCCUGAAAUAGAUGUAAAAAACAAAUGUUUAGUUACCUAAACAGGUUAGAUCAGUGAAUAUCCAAAUUUUCGACUAGAUAGAAAAUAUAAAAUGUUAAGCAGGUUAAGCAUACUUGUGAAAGGCUUUCUGAAUAUCGCGCUGACUGGCAUUUUUGUCAACACCAAGAACCUGUAGGAGGAAAAUUAACAAUUGAAAAUUGAAUCACCAAUACAGAAAAUUGACAAGAAAAUAUUCACAAAAAAUAACAACAGGUUAUCAAUUAAAAUUGGAGUUCGGGAGUCGAAAGAAGCAUAGAGGAAUAAAGGAGGAAAAGUUAAACAUUUAUAUACCAAGCAAACCGAAAAGAAAAAAGUAUAAACUCGGUGAAAGACCUAAAUAAUCUAUAACUUUGUCGAGUUCUUUUGCCCCCCCGAACACUAGAUUGUGUCAAAUUCAGCCGAACGCCCCAAACCGGAGUCCCUUUUAUUUCUGUCGUAUGAGAUUCUGUCGCUUAGAACUCCCAAACACCGUUUGGUUGGGGGUUAAGGGGUGGAAUAACCCCUUAACCCCGAAUUUAUACCCAAACACCACUCUUUUCGGGUGGGGUUUACUAACCCCACCCCAAACCGGGUUAGUGGGGUUUACUAACACCACUCCCCCUCCCAACUUUAACCCCGCACGCAUCCCGAGUCCUCACAUUUUUCUUCUUUAUCAAUCAUUAACCCCACUCUCCCUCCCAACUUUAACCCCGCACGCAUCCCGAGCUCUCACAUUUUUCUUCUUUAUCAAUCAUUAUCUUUUUAUCCCACCUACUCCAACCAAACACUUUUUUUCACUAUCCUACACUAACUCCAACCUCCAACCAAACACAAAAAAAUUUUAACACCAUUUUAACCCUGAACUUAACCCUAUCCCUGGAAUAGCUACUUUUUCUUAACCCCGAACCAAACGGGGGCAAAGAGUACAUGAUCCUCUCUGAUAAACGGAUCUGUUUAAUCUUUCAGAUUCUCACUUCAUAUUCGAAAAAUUCUCGUUGUCUUUACGAAUACUAUUCUCUCCUCGUUCUUUUAUCAGUUUUCUGUGUGCUUUUUCUCUUCCUUUGGCACAGCAUCAGCAAACAUCAGUAACCAGUUCCCAAAUUGGCAAUAUUUUUCAGUUUCAAUUGAAUCAAAGUAUGAAACAAAAAAAUAUCUCGAGAACAAUCAAUGUCAAAUUCACAUUAGAAGCACACGUAGCGCAAUUUUCACCUAAAUUUCCCAAAUUUCACAGGCCAUCAAAUUGAAUGGUACAGCAUUGAGAUCACAGAGUACAAACAUCAGGAAUAGUACCAAUUUCACGCGAAAAAGAGCUCUAAUCUAUCAAAUUACGCUCAUAAUUCCUCAAAAUCGUAUUAAAAUGAGCGAUUCUACGAGCAUAAGAAUGGAUUAAUGCUUCUCACCUUGUAGGGAUCUCGGGUUUUGGCAUCGCCCGGGACCGAGAGGUGGAGGAGGAGGACGAAGAAGAAGAAGGAUGGCGCGAGGAAUCGUCUUGCCAUAGGCGCUAUUGAUUCCGUGCUUCGUUUUCGGGUUUUUUUUUUUGUUUUUUUUUUUUUUUUGCCCUUUUUGUUUCGGAAGAGCGAGGGAGAGAGAGAGAGAGCGCUUUUUAUCUGUUUCGACUCACGCACCGGUUUCGAAGGUGGGGAGGUUUCCUCCGCGAUAAUUCCAGAUGCUUCGUCGGCUCGGACACGUGGCGACGCCUUAUGCCUCCACGGCUUUCGACCAAUAGGAUUUUAGGCACGGUCGCGAAUUACACCAAAUUCUUCAAGUUCCAAGCCCUGGUAAAUCAAAUUACUAACGAACUAGAUAAGUAAUACAUUAAUGAAAAAUGCAGUUUUUCUUUCUCAUAAAGAGACUCGCAAAUUACUAACAAAUUUAUGAAUAUAUAUUUUUUAUUUUUUUAUUUUUGUUUUUAUGAGAUAAUAGUUCUAAUAUUUAUAAGAAUUAUAAAAUUCUAGAUAAGUAAAAAUUAAAUCGAAUCGGUUUAUAAUUGUUAUCCUAAUAUAGCUAUAAUAUAUUUUUAAUUAGCUUUUCAAUUUAACUAACAUAAUAACCGUCGGAUCGAGCCCGAUUAUGAGCCCAUCCGAUCGGUUAACAGAAUGCCAACAGUAUAAUAUAAUUACAUAAUACAAAUAAAUAUUUUAAUAUCUGAUUAUUACUUAACUUUUUAAUUUUUUUAAAAUUAUCUUAGCACUAUUAUUUCAAGUCAAUAUAAAUAUAGGUAUAAAUGGAUAGAUAGAUAGAUAAAUAUAGAUAUAGACUAAUAAGACUCUAGUUUGGAGUUUAUGAUUUUAUUAUUACAUAUUUUUUUUAGGCAACAAUUCAAAAACAAAAGAAGAACGCCAUAUAAUACGGCGAAAUAGACUUAAUAGUAAUAGAUAGCGCUCGACCCAUUGACUCGAUCCAGGCCCGUAGGAACACAAAAAGGCCCAUAUUCAGAAAGAAGCAACUGUUCGGCCCAUUUAUUUUCUGUGGUCCCCACAUCAAACCACGUUUAACUCCUGCCCAAAGCCUACAACGGCCCGGCCCAUUUAAUGGGCCCACUCCUCUCCCCCUCCCUCACUCUCGUUCCCCCACAAACCUCUUCUCUACCCCUCUCCCUCUUCCUUUCUCUCCAUCUCCAUCGUCUCCUCUCCCUUCCUCUCCUCUCCUCUCUCACCUCCGAAACCCUACCCCCCUUCUCUUCGGCGCCAUUCCACUCCGCUCCUCUGCUUCGACCCCGAUCGCGUUCGAGAUCUCGAUUCCUCUUCGGCCCCUCCCAUUGCAUCCGCGGAGCGAUUCCUUAUAAAGCGCGCGGGCGCGAUCCAUGGCGCUCUCGGCGUCGGAUAUCCAAGCCGUGUACUCGCUCCUCGCGAACUCGCUGAGCGCCGAAGAGUCCCUCCGCAAGCCCGCUGAGGCCAACCUCGCACAGUGCGAGAGCCGCCCCGGAUUCUGCUCGUGCCUUCUUGUAAAACCCCAAUUCUCUCUCAUUUUACCCAUGAUUAGUACGAAUUUUCUAUCAUGAUAAGUUAUUUUGGUAGUGUAAACUUCGAGGUGAUGUGUGGGUGAUUGCAGGAGAUAAUCGCGGCGAGGGAUUUGGCUUGCAGGGAGGAUGUCCGCCUUUUGGCUUCUGUAUAUUUCAAGAAUAGCAUCAGCCGUUACUGGAGAUAUCGGCGUGAUACACCGUCAGUUGCUUUCUGAAACUACUUGCUUAAAAAAAAAAGCCUCUUCAUAUGUUUGGCAACAUCCAAAUUUGUCAAUUUGAUCGAAUGCAAAUUCAUUUCUGUUUAUUUCCUUCAUCUGGAUAAUUAAUUGAUUAUGAUAUGUACUGAUUUCUACUGAAUUAGGUGGAUCUCAACCAGUGGAAUAAAUUGGACGAGUUGAGAACCGAUAUACCAGGAUUUAAGCUUCUUAAAAGAUUAAGAAAAUUUGUUUGUCCAGAAAUAAUCUUUGUUGUCAAUAUGAAUGGGUUUAUGAUUAAGCCUAAAAUGGAAAAGUAAGUGAUGGAAAUUGGUGCAUUGACAUCUUAUUCCAAGUAACUGAUUGGUUUAAAUUAUACCUUGGUUUGGUUUAGAUUUUAGCUCUUACUUAAUUUUGUCUUGAUUUGGUAGCGAAGAGAGUGUCUAUCUUUUUUCUUGACUUAAAAGGGUAUCAGGUUAGAAACUUGCACAGAGUGGAUGUGUAUAGCAGAAUGGGUUGGCAAACUAAUUCUGUGAUCUUAUCCAUAUGAAGAUGGCUAGACAAAGACAAAUAUAUUAAAUGGGGAGGUUAUGAUGUUAGCUAGCGAUCUCCGCACUCUUUCACAAGUUAAAUUGUUCUUUUGCAUAUUUUUACUCUUUUGUUAUUAGUGACUCCUCUCUGAAUGAAGUUAUGCAAAUACUGUAUAACAUAGUAAUUUUUCGCUACAGGGGAGGCAUUAGCAACGAAGAAAAGAUUCACAUUCGAAAUAAAUUGUUGUUACACAUAAGAGAAGAGAAUACCAAGGUUAGAUACGCUGAUUCUUUUGUUGGUUGUAUAUUAUCUUGACGUGUCACUAUAAACAAAAAAAAUAAAAUUUAGCUUAUUUUUUCCACAUAGUUGUAUACAAAAUAGAUUUGUGUCAUGAGCGGUCAGCUAAUAGAUUAUGCUUUGAAUUGAUUUUAUAGAUUCAUUCUUGUCGUGUUAUUUGAAGUUACUUUGUUCGUUUUCUUAAUGGUGCAAUUUGAAUGGUGUCUCUUUUGGAGAAGCGGCAUCUCUUAAGUGCUGAUUCCCCCUCUUGGUUUUCUAUUGUUUGAUGCAGAUUGCACUUCAGUUGGCCGUUCUUAUCUCCAAGAUAGCACGUAUUGAUUACCCAAAAGAAUGGUGAAUUCUUCCAUCUGGUCUUUCUACACAAUUAUAAUUUUCCAAUGUAUUGUGCGAUGCUUAUGUAUCUAAAGCAGCUGCUACCCUGCAAUUUCUAAAUUUAUUUUGUAACCAUACUUUAUAGUCACUGUAGUAUUGCUGUAGUCAAGCAAACUUGUUAUGCAGGAGCCUGCUAUUAAAGUAAAUCUUUCUCUAAAAUGUUUAAUUGGCAAGCUGCUUGAUCUGGAUUUUCCUUUACACUGUCAGAAAGUCUACUAGCUGUUCGCUUGAUAGAUCUUUUAUGUUUUGCUGUGCAAGUUUGGAGAAAUCGUUUUGAUGGCAUGUGGUUUAUUUGUCAUUCAGGCCAGAUCUCUUUUCCUCGUUAGCACAACAGCUCCAGUCAGCUGAUGUACUUGCUUCGCAUAGAGUUUUUAUGGUUUUGUAUCGAGCUUUAAAGGAAUUGUCGACAAAACGGCUUGCUUCUGACCAAAGAAACUUCUCUGAGGUACUACAGUUUUAUCCAAUAUUGUAAGUUUUCAUCUUGCCUUGUUGUCAGAAAUACUAUGUCCAGCUUGCAUCUCAGUUUAUUUUGAUUUUUAAAUUGCAUGCUACUUGCUAUACUGAAAAGAUAUGACUCUUUAAUUCAUCAAUUUAGACUCUAAAUAAUUUUUGUUCUUUAAAGGCUUAAUUUUAUUAGGUUUGUGAGAGUAACUAUCUGCUAUUANAAUAAGAUAAAGUGGACAUCAUGAAUAGUCAGCUUAGUACACAAUCAUCAACAAUUUGAUAAUAGCAGAUAUGACUCUUUAAUUCAUCAAUUUAGACUCUAAAUAAUUUUUGUUCUUUAAAGGCUUAAUUUUAUUAGGUUUGUGAGAGUAACUAUCUGCUAUUAUCAAAUUGUUGAUGAUUGUGUACUAAGCUGACUAUUCAUGAUGUCCACUUUAUCUUAUUAUAUUAUUCAUGGAGUUCUUGAGUAACAAGCUGAUGAAAUGUUGUCUUUUGAACUUCUCUGUGCUUUAAAGAACAGCAAUCUCUAACAGAAUUUUGUGAUGGAAACUUAAAGAAAAUUUUCAAAAUUUUUUGAUAUGGAAUUUUGCUAUUUAUAUUUAAGCUUCCUGGAAUCCUUCAAACACAAACUGUUUAGUGCCCAUUUUUGCAUCACUUGAUUUGCUUUUAUUUGCCUUCUUAUUAGUUAGGGUUCUUUUUUUUUUUUGGCUCUUAUAAGAAUAAUAUCCUCAACUAGGGCCUAGGGUUUUUUUUUUCUUUUCCAUCUAAUCCUUUGUUUAACUAUAUAUGAGACAAAGGGUUAGAAAAUAAAAUGGUGCAUGGCUACAUUACCUGAUGAAUCUUGAAAUGCUGUGGAUUCUUUAGAUUUGGGCCAUUUGUCACAAAGCUAGGCAGGAAACCACAGUUUUAGUGUAGUGUAUAGAUGCUUCCAUCAAAUUUUGAACUAUUAAAAUGGAUCAUGAUAGUCUUAUAGUAUCCUUUUAUAUAAUGUGUACUUUUGUGCAGAUCACCGCCCACCUAUUUGAAUAUACAUGGAACCUCUGGAACAGUGAUGUGCGGACUAUUUUGCAGAAUUUUGCUGCUGUUUCUCAAUCUAGCAACAUCAAUACCUUUGUCGAAGAAUCCAAUGACCUGCUUUUGAUUUGUGAACGAUGGUUAUUUUGUUUGAAGAUAGUACGGCAACUGAUUAUUUCUGGUUAUCCUAGUGAUAAAACAUCUGCACAGGUAUGUAUCGAGAUUAGCCUAAAAUUUGUUUGCUUUCUGCUUUACUUUCUUUAUAAUUAUAUUUUUGGUAAUCAAGACCUAUAGGAUGAUACUAUUAACUUCCAAUUUCGUCCUUUUAGGACGUUUGGCAAGUCAAGGAAGUUUGUCCUGCAUUCUUGAGUGCUGUUCAAUCUUUUCUCCCAUAUUGUAAGUCGUUUCUCUUAUUCGUGUUUCCGAAAUCUUUAGCUGUUUCUUUAUUCAUCCUUCAAUUUAUUCAAAGGGCUUUCUUUUAUUUCUUAUCAUCAUAUAUCUUCUGCAAGCUUAGGUCCUGAUAUCUAGCAGUACUUGAUUAGUUUUUUAUUUUUUUCCUUUUAAUGUUGUGUGGUACUACUUGAGUUCAAUAAUAUUUCUAUCUUUAUUGACAACUUUGAAAAUUCAAUUAUUUAAUUAGUUAAAUUCAAAUACUGCAGACUCAUCCUUCCAGGAAAGACAUCUCAACCUGUGGGACUUCACAAGGAGAGCAUGUACUAAGUUGAUGAAAGUACUAUCUGCCUUACAAUCCAAACAUCCUUAUUCAUUCGGUCACCAUGCCAUCCUCCCUGCUGUGAUAGACUUUUGCUUAAAUAUGAUUGCAAAUCCUGAACAAGCGGGAACAUCUUUUGAGCAGUUUCUGAUUCAAUGCAUGAUGUUAGUGAAAACUAUUUUGGAGUGUAAAGAGUACAAGCCAAGCCUCACUGGACGUGUAAUUAAUGAAAUGGGGGAUUCUCUAACCUUAGAAGAUAGGAAGAAGAGCAUUUCUGCAGCUGUUAGUGGCAUUCUCAAGAAUAUCUUGCCAAAUGAUCGUGUUAUAUUGCUCUGUAAUACAUUGAUAAGAAGGUAAUUUCUAGAUUAGCACUUCUUGAUUGAUUUUUUUUUUCUCUCCUGGAUGUAGAAUUUCACAUUAGAUAGUCAUGAAGAUUUUUUUUUCCUUUCUUUUCUAUACUCAUUUGGGUGAUUUUCAGAAAUUUCCUUUGUUAUGUCUUUUUAAAAAAAAAAAAAAAAUCCUUUUGAAUCUUUUUGCAUGGCAUAUUGCUUGAAGAACGAAUACCCUUUAGAUCUUAGAGAGGAAAAAGUGAGAACACUAAAAUCCAGGUGUAACAUAGGAUAAAAAUAAAAGUAGUAUGUAUUUGCACAGAAAUCUAGAUGUUGUGAAUGAUCUACAAGCCAAAUCAAGGAUGUGUUGCUAAUGGUGACAAAAAGUAACAAGGGUAAAUGGCUAACAAUUGCUUUGCACCAUUUAUAUAUUCCUGUAAUUAAUGCCAAUUUUGGCGAGGUUUAUAUAUAUAUAUAUAUAUAUAUGUCUUUUUUUGUUUCUGUAGUUAGUUCCUUGAGACGGCAAAAAAUUUGGAAGAAUGGCAUCAGAAUCCUGAAUGUUUUCACCAUGAACAGGAUAUGGUUCACUGGACAGAGAGGCAAAGGCCAUGUGCUGAAGCCCUUUUCAUUGUUCUGUUUGAAAUUAAUAGACAAGUCCGUACUUUUCACAUUCACACUUAUGGUAUCUUUAACAUUACUGCAUAUUACUUUGAAUAUAUAUAUAAUAGCUAUAUCUCAUUUCAGCUUCUUGCUCCGGUGGUUGUUUCCAUUCUUCAUGAAGCAAUUGGUGGUUCCCCUCCACUAGAAACAGACAUUACUCCUGGAAUGCUUUUAAAAGAUGCAGCUUAUACUGCUGCUGGGCACGUGUAUUAUGAUCUUUCUAAUUACCUUAAUUUUAAUGAAUGGUGAGUUUAUAGAUUUAUUUGCAAGAAAUUUUUGGGUUUUGGGUUGGGUUUAGAAAUUUGGUUUAUUUUUAUAUAUCUAGAAAAGGAGGGCACAUUUAACACUAUCUUACUAUACUGGUUUAAUGUCACAUUGUACAGUUUUCACGUCACAGACAAAUGUUACAUGUAAGACUGUAUUACAUAUUAACGUUUCUUCCAAAAUUAUAACAAUUCUUGUCCUAAUUCAAUUCUGCAGGUUUCACAAGUCGUUAUCUAUUGAACUUUCAAAUGGUCAUCCGAAUAUGCGCAUUAUUCAUCGAAAAAUUGCACUGAUACUCGGACAAUGGAUUUCUCAGGUUAAGUUUAUUUUGGAGUCCUGUUUUAUUAUCAUUGGAUUCCAUUACUUCUUUAUUAGGACAAUUUGUACUCUAUUGGUCAUUAUGCAUCACAUGAUUUAUAUAGUUGUUGUUUGUAAAUAGAAUGUUUGUUUUAUAUGUUAUUGCUUAUGUUUCCCAAACUUUAAUUCUUAGUUCCAUGAAUCUGGUGUACCAUUUUCAAAACAAAUUUGUUGAAAUUAGUUCCAACAGUUUCAGUGGAAAAGACAGAAAAAACUUGUAAGAUCAUUUAGAGUAUAUUUUUUUUGAAAAAAAAACUUAAUCAAACCUGUGGUAAGAUGUGUCAGAUCAAAAGUAGUGUACUAGUGGCAUGUCGGGCCUUAUGUACUUGGGAGCUGCACAUCCCUGUGUUAUGGCAUUGAUAGAUUAUCUAUUUUUAUCGUAUUAAUACCAUCUUAUAGAAUAUAAGUGGCCCUGGUUCUGAUUUUAUGGAGUUUGCCUUUCUGAAAUUCUUAACUCCGAUGGGCCUAGAUCUCCAACUUGAUCUUCUAUGAUUUUGGGAAGUUAUGCUAUAUAUGGUAUUCUCUCUGAUCAUUAUUUUAACCUUUUGGUAGAUUAGAUCUUAUCUUCAUUUAUUUCACCUGUGCUUCCAUCAUGUUAUGCUAUAUACAGUUAUCUUCUUUAUUGUAUGUUGCCUUAUUUUUGGUUUCAUGAUGCAAUCACAAUGGUCUUUUGCUGCUAGUCUUUUUCUGGAUUCUGGUUUCUGAUUAUUUCACCUUUCAAGCAGAUUGAAGGUGACACUAAGACGAUGGUUUACCACGCAUUAAUCAGAUUACUUCAGGAUGACGAUGUAGCUGUUAGAGUAUGAUUUUUGAUCUGCACAAAGCCCUAAUCCUUGUAUUUGAUGUUUCUUACUUUUUCCUGUUUCACUGAUUAUAUACCUAUCCAUUUUCAGCUGGCUGCAUGUUGGUCUUUGUGCUAUGUUGUUCAAGACACUAACUUUUCAGAACAAGAUUUUGCAGAGCUUCUACCAGCAUGCUGGACUUUGUGUUUCAAGUUGAUUGAUGAUGUUCAGGAGUUUGAAUCAAAGGUUCUUUUUCUUCUCAUAAUGUUAUUUCACUUUCUAAGUUGCUACUCAGUAGUCUCACCUGAAAUUAUUUUCUGCCAACAUUGGAUAGGAGUUCAGUUUCGAUUGAUUCACUUGGUCUGGUAGUUGAGCUUUUGGGUAGGCAGUUUCCCUUGUUUAAUUUUGUGGGACUUAUCUUCGUUACACUUUUAGGUACUAGUUUUGAACUUUAUCUCGGUACUACUUGAAGCUGUUGGUGAGAAGGUUAUUCCAUUCGCAAGUCAGUUAUCAAAAUAUUUUCAGAAGGUAUGUAUUUAAUACGUGAAUUUUGAUAAUUCUCUUUGUACUUCAGCAGGCAUAUUUCAGGGAACAAAUUUUACUGUUUUUUGAUUGUUUGGAGUCUUAGUAGAGAAUGUUUCUGAUGUUUUGUAAUUUGCCUAAUGGCGAACAUUUAUUCUCUGAAUAGAUAUGAUAUUGUAAAGAGUUAAAUUUUAUAUCAUUAGGCAGUAUUAGAGUGAAAUGACAAAUAUGUUUCAUAAUUUUAUGUACCAUAAUAGAUGGGUGAUUCUUCUUUUGCUGUUCUCAGAUGUGGGAGGAAUCAAGUGGUGAAAGCUUACUACAUAUCCGGCUGCUAGUGGCACUACGUAAUUUUGUUUGUUCUCUUGGAUAUCAAUCGCCCAUUUGCUAUGACAGCCUUCUACCUAUAUUGCAAAGUGGUAUUGAUGUCGAUAGCCCUGAUGCUCUCAACCUCCUUGAGGACAGUGUCUUGGUUAGUUAUAUUCGAUAGGUUAAACUUCGAAUAUAUCUCGUUACAAGGAAUUCAUUUGAUGUUGGUUGUGAUACUGUGCAGCUGUGGGAAGCAACCCUUUCCAAUGCUCCUUCAAUUGUGCCUCAACUGCUAGAAUUUUUCCCCUAUCUAGUGGCUAUAAUAGAUAGAAGUUUUGACCACCUACAGGUGAGGCACUUGAUUUUGAGUUCUUCUCCAGCAAAUCUACUCUUUUUGUAUCUCUCCGUAUCGGCCCUUCUUUUUGUUUUAUCAUAAACUCCAUUACACAGUAUAGUUUCUUGAAAUUAUAUGUAUUUCACAUUAUGCCUCUUGUGGAACUUAAAUUGAGCCUUAUUUCAAGUUUGAGUUCAGUUCGAUCUUCAAGAUGUAGCAUUUGAUAAACCCCAAAUUUAGUCAUUGUACUAAUUCAUUACUUAAGCAAGUCUUCAUUGGGAUAAAAGAAGAUUAGACAGUGAUGGAAUUGGCUUGAACAAUAAUUAUUUUACUCUUAUCAGGGACUGUGUGAGACUAGACUGAUUGACCCCUUUUUUUUCUGAAUUAUGCAUCUCAUUAUCUUGAUAGAUAGGAUUUUUGAAUUGAACCAUCUAUAUUCUUCAUAGUAAGCUUACUGGAUGUCAUAUUUAGAUUUCUAAUACACUUUUCUUAGGUGGAUUGCUUUUAUCAGUAUAACUCUGUGUGGAAAGCAAAAAGAAGAAUUAGUAGAAUCUCUUCUAUUGCAUCUGUUAUCUCCAAAAUUUGAUGGCGAUAUGCAGAUUGGACUGAAACAGAUGUUUCUGCAAUGUAGGUGGCGGUCAAUAUUAUUGAGGACUACAUAAUAUUUGGUGGUGCUGAAUUUUUGAAGAGGCAUGCUUCGAGUAUAGCUAAAAUUCUUGAUGCUAUUGUUGGUAAUGUUAAUGACAAAGGGCUGCUUGCGACACUUCCUAUCAUAGACCUUCUUGUUCAGGUGUUUAUUCUUCCAUUUUAGUUAGGAGGAUCGUGGACGGCUGAAGCCUGAAGCUUGUUUGGCAUAAACGUUUCUAUUACUGCUCUGUUUUGAGUUGCUCUCCUCCUAUCUGCUAUCUGCAAUACAUAUUAUUUGCCUGUAUGUUGCAUAUUGAUUUUUUUUUCCAGCAAAAAAAAUCAAGUAAUUUGCAUCACAAUAUAAUGUCACAUUAGUUGAUAUUUGGUUUCUACUUCUUUCUGAUUUAUUCAUGUGAUCAUUUGUGCCUAGACAAAAUCGUUGCCCUUCUGCUUUCUGAUAUCAUAUUACUAGAACAUGAAGUCUGUAAACUGAUAAACUUCAUUUGUUUCAUUUGUGAGGAUACGAGCUUGAUUUGUCCAUUGCCUUGUAACUUACAUUUACUCCUUUUCUGCUCUGUAAUUUAACUACAUUGAGAUUUAUAAUGCCAGCCAAUUGCAACUUCCCAUACGUGCAGAUUUUGAGCCUUUAUAGCACAGUAUACUAUAAUUUAGCAUGUACAUUUGUGACAUGCCACAGGAAAAUCAUGUGGUGAGACAUCUAUGUUAUUUGAUUAUGUGAGAUUGUGCUUUCGGUUGAUAUAGUUAACCAUGUUACCUGUUGUUUUUUCUUUGUUACUAAUCGAGCUUGUUUUAUAUGUAGUGCUACCCUUUGGAGGUGCCAUUGAUCUCUGGAGUUCUUCAGGUACUUAAAUUGCAUAUUUUGCUAAUCCUCGAGAAACAUCAAACCGUUUCUAACUUGGUUCUUGUCAUCUGAGGAUUUCGAUUAAUGGUGCUUUACAGAAACUAGUCUAUCUAUGCUUGUGCGGUGAUGAUGAACGUAAUCCUUCUCGGACAACUGUGCGUGUAACUUCUGGAGCCAUCCUCGCAAGGCUUCUCGUGAUGAAUACCAACUAUCUGGCUCAACUAGCAUCUGAAGCAUCUCUCACAGUUGCCCUUCAACAAGCAGGGCUUUCUAUUAACCAGAAUGUACUUCUUUGUUUGGUUGAUGUGUGGAUUGACAAGGUACCGGCAGCACUAGUGCACAAACUUUUUACCAUUUAUCUGCCACACUGCCUAUUAUCUGCCAAUUAACUAAGUUUUAUGCUGUAAAAUUCUCUUACAAUAUACUUGUGAUUUGUGAAUAUGGGGGCAACGUUGGUAACCAUUAUCCUUGCCAUAUGUCACCUCUAUGAGUUUCUGACAUGAACUUUCAACAGAUAGACAAUGUUACAGCUAUACAGCGCAAGGCAUAUGCAUUGGCCCUUUCCAUCAUUUUGACGUUAAGAUUACCUGAAGUCAUUGAAAAACUCGAUGAGAUCCUAAGGUAAAUUUUUACAGAUCAAGGAAACUCCUAUUUUUGCCUCUUUACCAUAACUAAGUUUUCUGUUCUCUUUUAUGUCCAGUGUCUGUACUAGUGUAAUUAUGGGAGGAAGUGGAGGAACCAGUGAAGAAGACUCCAGGUUGUUAGUACUGAGAUAUUUCCUCCACUUUAGCAGUUGAAUUCUCUUGGCAAUUCUAUUAUUUUAACAUUUUGUAUCAAACCUUUUUUCUCAGCAGUAGUGAUAUUACAAGCUCUUCUUGGCCCAGUGAUGUUAGUGUUUCAGGAAAAGAGUUAAGGAAGAAACAAGUGAGUUGUUAUGUUUGGAAGCUAGCUUUUCAUCUAAACUUGGCUUUCAUCUCGUGCAAUGAGUUGAAGGGGAUUUCUUCUCUUAUCAGAUAAAAGAUUCAGAUCCUAUCAGACAGUUUUCAUUGGAGGACAUUUUAAGAGAAAACUUAAAAGCAUGUGCGGCCCUUCAUGGGGAGGCAUCUUUCAAUGCUGCUAUUAGCAGAAUCCACCCAUCAGCAUUUGCUCAGUUGCAGCAGGCGCUGAAGAUGGUUUAGAAUGUCAAUAGACGAAAUCUCGAUUCUUUAAUUUAAGUCACCUUACAGUUCAGAUGGAUAGGAUUCUAUUUUGUGAUGAAUCGUAAGUUACGAACUUAUAGUCCUCCUGUUUUUUGGCCCGAGUUUUAUUAUGAGGUGCCAGUUCAUCUAAUGUUAGGAAUAAUGCUUUUGCAGGUGCUGCUUUUUGAAUGUCUUCUGUAUUCCGGAGACUGCUGUUAUCAUCCAAGUCGCAGGCUGCUGUACUAUUUUUUGAUUGGAGGCUAUUACGUAUUUGGGUGUACCAGUGUUGAACAUGAUCUUGGGUGGUAUUUCCUUUUUUUUUUCUUUGUUAUACAUAUUUUUUGAGGUAAUUUUUUUCAACGGAAGAGUCGACGGCUCGUAUGUGAAGCAGGCAGGUUUUUGUAGGUCAUGCUUCCAUCGUUGACCUCGGUGGGCAAUGGCGUCAGAGUUCUCGAGUACCUUUUUCUUACAUCCUCAUGGGAGAACCCAAAAGUAAAAAAAAAAAAGUGAGAGAGAUGUGAGAGGGAAAUGAAGUGUUAUUUGUUGUAUGAUUUGGUUUGUUAACAGUUAAGUUCUUGUAUUAUGAUUUGGAUUGUUUCCUAUUGAAAAUUUCCUUUAUUUGGGGCAUGAAGAGUAAGCCUUGGCGUUUCUCUUAUUUAUUGGCCUGUAUGAGCAUUAAGAUUUUGUAAAUAAAAGAUUGUACGCAACUCCUAGAGCAUUGCUCGACCUCUCAGAUGGGAUGUCUCAGAAAAUGUGUAGACAACUUCAGCAGAGAAGUUCAGAGUGCUGCUCUGAGCAUUAUGUGAGUAGAUAUGUCAGAUCAGAUAGGGUCUUCUGUCUGAAAUGACCUAGUCUUCUAGAAGCGUGGGAUGAUGUUAGGAUGUGCUUUGAGAUCUGUGCACUCUUCCGUGAUCAAGAAUCUUCGUGCUCAUAAUGUUCCCACGCGGCUUCAAGUGGGUUCAUGCCUGAGUGGUUACGUGCAGAAAAACCGAGGAGGAUGUAAAGCCUUCUCAAAUCAUUCAGCUUUUAUUUCAGUAGAUAUCGUCAUUUAUCGGUUCAAAAAAAAAAAAAAAAAAGAGGAAGAAAGAAAUAAAAGGAGAUGGAGUACAAGAGGCGAAAUAGUCUUUAAGCAAAUACUGUAAGAAGUAUGGCAUAGCUGGGUAUGCUGACCUGCAAUAAUCUCAGCCCCAGUUAAUUGGAUUUGACAAAAUGCAAGUGGAAAUCAAAUUUCUCUCUUUUUACAUAUUUCUGAAGGAAAAAAGAAAUAUGUGAAUAUCAUACAGUUACAUUAAUAUAAUCUCUGGUAGAGGAAACAAGCAUAACAUUUUGUCAGAUAAUGCGAUAACGAAACAUCCGCUUUUAUUUAAUAUAUAAAUCUAUAUACAAAUUGACAUAUAAUAACUGCAGCCCCCGACUCAGCUAACUAUGAUAGCUAGUAAACUAGCAAAACAACAUAUAUGUACAAAGACAAGACGAGCAAAUGGUACAGGGGGAGCAAAUUAUUAAUUGAGCAAAAAAUUUGCUCCCCAUGAUCUUCUUGAAGCCCUAGAAAGAAUCUAAAUCCUACUUUUAAGGGAUGCAUUCCACGAAGUUAAGUCACCGGAUUAGCUUUCCACCACACGACUUGUGCCUGUAUCCUAUAACCCUGUGCAGCAUGCGAGUAUACAUAAACGCCAGCUUUAUAUUUAUACAAUCAUCUUAAAACAUCCGAGAGGUCGUCCAUGGGGAUUUCAAGGCCCACGAAAUCAUGGUCUUGUAGUACCUCAUCAUCAAUACUUAACCAUGAACCAAUAUCCUGUCCUUGACCAACCAAAUCAGCCACGUCAAUUUCCGGCAAUUGCAAACUAGACAAGUCAACUGCUUCACCAUCAUUUGCCACAUUCGGCACCACACCGGAACUUGCAUUAGGGGCCAAAUCAUCCUUCUUAUCAUUUCUCCCACCACCAGUUUCACGUGAUUUAGGGCCUGAGGGCAUUGCUGUUGUCGCAGGUGCCUCCGCAGAUAACUGGGUUGUCCUCUGUUUCGGCUUUGUUUUAUUCUUUCUUUCGCCUUUCAAAUUGGAUAAUGAUGGGCGGCCAAUUUUAGGAACGCCAUUUCUAACAGAAUCUCUGUUUUGCCCCUUCACUUCCCGAUCUCUGUCGCUCCUCUUUCCUUUUGUACCGCUGAUCAGAGAAGUCCCAAGACCUGAAGAGGCUCUCAGGGAGGAGGUGCCAGCAAUACUGCCGACGACAUCAUCAAGCAGCAUUUCCCUCUUUUUUACUCUAUUCGACCAUGUGUCUUCUCUAGCAAGGGACUGCUCUGAGAGAUGGCUGAGUGAUCGAGAAGUAUCAGAGUUCUUAUCGGAUGUGUUUGCCGCUUGGUCUUGUUUUGACAUCACGCCACAAAUGAAAUCUGCAAAAGCAGAUUGAAUUAAACAUAACAAUGCAGGCCAUGACAAACUAAACCACAAUGUAAAUGAUCUCCAGCAUUCUAGAAAAAGCAACUACAUCGCUAGAAGAAAUUCUUUUGUCUAGGCUAUGCACAAAUUGCCAGACUAGGACGAACAGCCUGUUGGCCGAGAUGGAGCUUUUGCAGAAUGUCUGUUUGAAGAAGCAUUAAAAGCUAUUAUUUGCUAAAUAACAGCAAUAAUUUUCUGCUAUAGCAGAAGCAGAAGCUUCAAUAUGGAGCUGCUGCUUUUUGGGUUUGACUAGUACUUUAAAGCUUCCCAUAGAAUUUAAAAAACUCUAGACUAGACAUUCUGUUUGCCAAAUUACUGGUGACUGAAAGCUUCCACUUACUAGAUUAGCAAGUUGCUCCAGAUGCUGGGCCAAAACUGGCACUAAGCCAGCACACGGUACAGUACUACUUCCAAUGGUAUUAAUUUAUUAGUAGUCUCACCUGCGGAAGUAUAUAUACAUUUUGCAUUAGAGCCGUAAGAUGGUCCAGAGAUGAACAUAUCCCUAAAAGGAGGCUCGUCAAAACAGCUUGUUCCCGUCUGCUCGAACUUCCGACACCUAACCAAUGUUCGUCUAACAAAAGCAAGGGCGCCAUGUUUGCCAACUCUGUUGGAAUUCUUAGGACCACAGUAUUCCUGCUUCAUGAAUUAGCCAAUCAUGAUUAAUCAAACAGUGGUCAGAUUACCAAAAACAUGAUCAAAUAUCAUACAUUAUAAAUAGGAUCAAGGCUGAAUACAAGACAUCAUAGAUUUUGCAACCAGAAAGUGCUAGUAACUUUAACUGUUGAAAAAGGCAUCAUGAGUUUAAAGCACAUCUUUGGUAAAGAGAAUGUACUAACUGAAGUAUCUGCAUUUAUAAUUUCUAAUGUAAUAGCCAUACAAAAUUACAAUAUAUCCAAAAUGAAAUUACAAAAAUAAUCAUAGCUUAAAACCAUUCGAGUCCUAAGCACUAAGGGCCGAGACUUGGAUCAUAUCCAGAACUGAUCUCAUCAAGACUGAUAACCCUCAAAUAACGACGAAAUGGACAUCAAUUACUUUCCAAUUUGGCUAAGAUAAUCAGGUUCAAGUUGUUGAGCACCCAACCCAGUGUUCAAGGCUAAAUUUAGAACAGGUAUAAUCAAAAUCAUGAUCUUAAAGAGCUUUCAACACAGAAAUAUAACAGGUGACGAGUGAUAAAGUUGGUGAUGAAAGAGGGUAAAUUUAACAUACUUAUAAAGCAACUACAGCAAGUAAUAGAAUUGCACAAAAUCAGUGAAAAGAUUGAAUAGACUUUGAGGAACAGUGAAUUACCAAAUAUUUUCCAUAAGCCCUACCAACAAGUCUGUCCAUAGCAACACGCACAAGUUCCCUAUUCAAUAUACAAAAGAAAAUUUAUAAGGGAUGGUAAAAGGGCUGAGUAUAAAGUCUGAACUCAUAUCUAGUUUUUAUACAGAAAUUCCAAGAAUCAAAUUCGGUAUAUUAUAUACCUUGGUUGAGUUUCUCUUGCCGCCGUCACCACCUUUUCUAGCUUCAGUAGCAGAUCCUUCUUCUUUGAAACCUUAAGAAAAGAAACAUUAUCCAUAAAUACACUCUGUAUUGUAUAAAUACAAUUCUAGAAAUGCAUCAUAAAAUGAUUUCCAAGCAACUUUUAAGCAUUUUGAGGAACUCAUCAGUUAUUUUAUAUUGCUGAGUGCAUUUACCAUGUUCUAUAAUCACAUUCAGAAAUAAUAAAAAUAAAAUAAAAUAAACAUCAACCAUAACUGUGAAUAAUGGUACCUGUUCGUGGAGCAUCUCCUCUAGCUUGCUGAUACCUUCAAUGAUAUCUUCAUCUCCACUCUGCGUUAGAUCAGGCUGAAAUUUGAAACAUGUAAGUACGUCUCCAAGUGGCCAAUGUAAUAUAACAGGCAGAUAUUUAAACUAUUUACACCAUCAUUAUGUCAUGGUAAAAUAAACAAACCCAAAAGUUUCAUGAGAGAUGACAUAAUUUGCAGUUCAGAAACCUAUGUUGGAGGAAAAGGAGAAUUAGAGAAACCAUUAAAUAUACCAUACAUGAAUGUCCAAGGGUUGGAUCACACAGAAAAAGACAAAAGCAACAAUAUAUUGGAUGCAGACUUCACUGAAAGUGUAAACUGUGACAGCAGAUAGCACAUAUUGGCACAGAUACUGCAACAUAAGAUUAUAAAAAGAAAAAAGAAAAACCAACAUGCAUUGCAAAGAUUGGUUUGUGCUAUUUAAUAAAGAAAAAAAAUAGAGUACAAAAUUUGCAAAAUUGAGGAGAUAUAUGAGAGAGCUGGAACCAACAAUGACAAAGAACAUACCACAGGUUCAGGGUAAAGUCCAAGUUCACUCAGCUCAAGGAGAAUUCUGUCGUCGAUGCACAUCUGGCUAUAUUGGGUCGCAACCUCCGGUAGGACACCAUUACUCACUGGUUUUUCACGUAUUAAUUCAUCGUGAUAUCUCCAACCAGCAUCGCCUUUGAAACCAUUAGGACCUCUAUCACCAGCUUGCAUGGUUAUUAAGGAUUGCAUGUAAGAAU